rnacentral:lncRNA from 1 species
GAGGAAAAACGAGGAUUUAUUUUAUAGUAUUAAAUAUAUAUAUACAUAUAUAUAGAGUGAGGCUACUAUACUUCUGAAAGCACGGAGCCUUCCGUGCUUCCAGGUCGUUUUCGAUGUUGCGACUUUUGAAUCGUCGAUCGGCUCCGUUAAACUUGAUCUAGAGUAUUUGAAGUACCUAGAAAAUAAAUUUUGCAAUUUUUCGAUAUCAUUUGCCUAGUGAACUAAGGGGCUCAAAAUCAACGACUGAAAAUAAAAAUCUUACAAAACGUGAUAAUAUGACAUUAAAAUUUUAGAUCGAAGAUAUUGAUCUUGUUCUAUAUAGUAUAAAGAAUUUUCUAUCAAAAUUUCAGGUGAUUUGGAUAUUUCUACACCGUUAAACUUGCAAACGGCUCACCACGGCCAUUAAAAUUAUUGAUUUUUAGUCCCUUCGAUCACCAGGCAAAUAAUAUCGAAAAAUUAUAAAAUUUAUUUUCUAGAUUUUUCAAAUACUCUAGAUCAAGUUUAACGGAGCCGAUCGACGAUUCGAAAGUCGCAACAUUGAAAACGACCUGGAAGCACAGAAGGCUCCGUGCUUCCAGAAGCAUAGUAGCCUCACUCUAUAAUCUAUAUAUAUAUAUACUAUUAUAUUAUAUUAUAUAUUUAUUGUAUAAUAUAUUUUAAAUAUAUUUUAUUUACCAAUAUAAAUUAUAAUAUUAAUAUAUGUAAUACGAUAAUUAUUAUAUAUUAAUAAUAUUAUAUAUAUAUAUAUAUAUAUAUAUAUAUAUAUAUAUAUAUAUAUAUAUAUAUAGAGUUUUGCUAGAAUAUUAUCGGUAAUAAACGGCUCGAUUUACUACCAAUUUAUUUUUUAUGACAGAGCUUCCAAAUUGAUGAUCGACACCGUUAAGCACGAUCUAAACUAUUUAAACUAUCUAGAAAUCAAAUUUCACACAUUUUCGAUAUUGUUCUUUUGUCCAUUAAGUAAAUAGAAAAAUAAAUGGCUGAAAAUGAAUAUCUUUCAAAAAGUGAUGAUACAAUUUUUAUCUUUGAGAUCUAGAGUCUAGAUCUUAUUUUAAAUAGUUUAAAUAAUUUUUUAACAAAAAUUUAGUUGAUUUGAACUCUUCUAUACCGUUAAACGGGCAAACGCACCAUAUCGGCCAUUAAAAUUAUAAAUUUUGUGACGCUUUGAUCGUUAAGUUAGUGAUGCCAAAAAAUCAUGUAAUUUAAUUUCUAGAUAAUUUAAAUGAUCUAGAUCAUGUUCAACGAUGCCGAUCGUCGAUUUGAAAGCUCUAUCAUAAAAAAUAAUCAGUAGUAAACUGAACAGUUUACUAUCAAUAGUAGCCCAGUCAAACUCUCUCUCUCUCUCUAUAUAUAUAUAUAUAUAUAUAUAUAUAAUAAUGGUUUAUUUUUAAUUUUUUCUUUCUUUCUUAUUCUUUCAACCAAAACAACCGAACGAAAAUUUUUUUUUUUUUUUUACAAAUCAAAUGCUAAAAGAUAUAAAAUUUAUUUUCUUUCGAAAAUUUUUUUUCCACGGAAUUUUCUUUUUCGCAGUUUUACGUGAAACCAAACCGGCCCUGAAUCUUUUUCGAGAAAAACCUUCUUAGCGACAAUGGUCGACACGGCCCGCACGUCGCGCGUCCCGAGGCUCGACGUGCUGAAGUCGACCAUGGACUCGAGUGACGUGGCGCAGAACUUCUUCUCCCCCUUCAUCGCCGGCGCCUCGCAAUCUCUGGCCGUCUUCCUCAUCCACUGGGCCUCGAUGGAGUCCGGCUGGAUCGCAAACCGGCCGAGGACUUCCGGAAGCUUCUCGACGGAGAACGGGAUCGAGUCGGCUUCUUUCCUGGGGAGGAAAGCGGGGGCGAAGGUGAGUUCCGGGAAGUAGAGGGUCAUCUUCUUCCCGGGGGGGAGGUCCUUUUCCAGGAAGAAGGGUGCGACGCUGAGGUCGCCGCGGAGCUGGGUAUGGGAGGCGGCGUAAUUAAACGUCGCCCUGUCAGUAACGGAGGCGGCGUAAUUACGGUUGUCGUCAGUAUCGAAGGCGGCGGGGCCCACGCUGACCCCGGCCCAUCUGGGGCCGACGUGGACGUUCGUCGUUGGCUUGCGCUUCCCCGGAUACACGUGGACGCCCACUCCCUUCCCCACGCUGACCGAGGUCGCGGCUUUCUCCCCGGCCGCCGUUUCUGUAGUUAAGUACGUACGUACCGACAUGAAAUAAAAAAAAAAAAAAGUGAAUCGUAGCGGUAUUAAAAUAAAAAUUUUUGGUCAAUGGAUGCGAUUUGCAGAAUAUUAAAAAAAGUAUUUAUAAUUUUCUAUUGAACUUUUUUUUAUUGAAUUUACUACUAUAUGAUAAUUAUAUGAUAUAUAUGUCAGCAUAAAAUUUUGGUCCACCAAUUAAUUGCUAUCUAAAAAAACAAAAAAAAAUAUUUCUGGAACGUAGGGGCUUACAGCCGCUCUAAUUAAUAUUUUAUUAUUUUAAAAACAAAUAUAAUUAAUAAAAAAAUGAUCUCAAAACAAUCUAAUACAAAUUUCGGUCAAAAAGGAGAGAGAUAGAGAGACGAGAGCUUAGGAGGUUGCUAAUGGCGCUUGGCAUAGGAGUGUUAGGUAGGAUGGAACGCCAAUAAACUUGUGCAGGUGAAGUUGCAUGUGCAGUUGCUGCUGCGGCAACCUGAAACAGUACGCAUAAAUAAUGAACUAACUGCCUCGCAUGUAUUCACAUCUCUUGUAAAAUGUAAUGGUGAUCAGAGAAGCCAGAUUUUAUUAAUUACUUACGAGUAGUAGGGAGAGGAGAGGUAACCAGCGACCCAUGUUUGAAGCUCUGUACACUUGCAAUGAGUUAAGAGGGGAUCGAAGUGAUGGGUUUAUAUAGGGGUUAGGAAACUAGAAUUAGGAAGGUAAUUAAUUUAAAAUAUAAAAGCGUGAGGAGAAUAGGGCGGUUUUUUUUUUCUAUCUACCGAAGAAAAGUGCCGGAACUAAAUUCCAAGACAUCCCAACCAUCCUGGNAUAUAUAUAUAUAUAUAUAUAUAUAUGGAUCGGUAUACUAGUUUACACCACGUACGUCUCUCUCUUAUUUUCUCACUCUCUCAAUCCACAACCCUGUACGUACGUACAUGCAUCCUCCUAAGUGCGGCGGGUCCACACAACAUGGUCUUGCAGGAGGAAGUGGCAAACGGGCACAGUCCCGGGCUUCACCUUGAGCACCUGGAACGCUAGGUGUUUCGGGUUCCACGCCGCCGUGUCGACGUGGCAAACCGCUGCUGCGUCAACCGCCGCCCCGUCUUUCCCGACCAUUUUCACCAUGUACACCCUCGUCGAUUCCACCAGGUGGCAGUAGAAGACCGCAUACGCGUAUACGUCCAUGUGGCACACCACCCCAUCACUCCUGGCCAGUUUACGGAUGCCGGAUGACACGAUAGUGUACUCCUGCUUCAUAGCACCCUGCCAUCAAAUAUAAAAUAUUAAAAUAUAUACUAUCGAUCAGAAAUUUAUAUUGCCGCUCUGAAAGUAAUAUUCUGUACGUUAUAUAUUUAAGUACUGCGAUUGUCUGACCAGUUGAAUUUUUCCUGUCUAAUUUAAUUAUAAAAUUUUUUUUUGUCAAUGUCCUUUAAACUUAAUUUAGAAUUGUUAACUGCAUGUAAUCAUUUAUAGUUUAAAUAAAAUAAAAGAGAUAGUACAUAAAUUAAUUUUUAAUAUAUAUAUUGCAAUGAGAAAAUGCUAGUUCUACAGCGAAAUUAAGUAGUUCGAAUGGUUAUGUAUAGUCGUACCAAAUUUUGGAAAAAUCUGGUAUUUCUUUUUGUACUUUAUUUAUUUAAUUCAAACUUAUAUUUUACUUAUUUAAUUCAAACUUAUAUUUUACUCUAUAGAAAAUCCGUCAGGAAAAAAUGCUAGUAACGCGAUAUUAUAUUAAAUUACUGCGCGAUCUCUGGCAGAGCUACAGCUAGCUAAAACUUUUUCGAGAAAAACCUUCUUAGCGAAGGUGGUGGACACCGCCCGCACGUCGCGAGUCCCGAGGCUCGACGUGCUGAAGUCGACCAUGGACUCGAGCGACGUGGCGCAUAACUUCUUCUCCCCCUUCAUCGCCGGCGCCUCGCAAUCUCUAGCCGUCUUCCUCAUCCACUGGGCCUCGAUGGAGUCCGGCUGGAUCGCAAACCGGCUGAGGACUUCCGGAAUCUUCUCGACGGAGAACGGGAUCGAGUCGGCUUCUUUCCGGGGGAGGAAAGCGGGGGCGAAGGUGAGUUCCGGGAAGUGGAGCGUCAUCCUCUUCCCGGGGCGGAGGUCCUUUUCCCGGAAGAAGUUGGGUGCGACGCUGGGGUCCUCGCGGAGCUCGGUAUCGGAAGCGUCGUAGCGAAUAUUGCCAGUCGCGAAGGGGCCCACGCUGACCCCGGCCCAUCUGGGGCCCACGUGGACGCUCGUCGUUGGCUUGCGCUUCCCGGGAUCCACGUGGACGCCCACUCCCUUCCCCACGCUGGCCCAGCUCGCGGCUUUCUCCUCGGCCGCCGUUUCUGUAGUUAAGUACGUGCGUACGUACGUACAUGAAAGAAAAAAAAAAAUACGUCAAUCGUAGCGGUAUUAAAAUAAAAUUUUUUGGUCAAUGGAUGCGAUCUGCAGAAAGGAGUAUAAAUAUUAAAAGUUUUUGUAAUUUCUAUUGAACUUUUUUUUAUUGAAUUUACUACUAUAUGAUAAUUAUAUGAUAUAUAUGUCAGCAUAAAAUUUUGGUCCACCAAUUAAUUGCUAUCUAAAAAAACAAAAAAAAAUAUUUCUGGAACGUAGGGGCUUACAGCCGCUCUAAUUAAUAUUUUAUUAUUUUAAAAACAAAUAUAAUUAAUAAUAAAAUAUGAUCUCAAAACAAUCUAAUACAAAUUUCGGUCAAGAAGGAGAGAGAUAGAGAGACGAGAGCUUAGGAGGUUGCUAAUGGCGCUUGGCAUAGGAGUGUUAGGUAGGAUGGAACGCCAAUAAACUUGUGCAGGUGAAGUUGCAUGUGCAGUUGCUGCUGCGGCAACCUGAAACAGUACGCAUAAAUAAUGAACUAACUGCCUCGCAUGUAUUCACAUCUCUUGUAAAAUGUAAUGGUGAUCAGAGAAGCGAGAUUUUAUUAAUUACUUACGAGUAGUAGGGAGAGGAGAGGUAACCAGCGACCCAUGUUUGAAGCUCUGUACACUUGCAAUGAGUUAAGAGGGGAUCGAAGUGAUGGGUUUAUAUAGGGGUUAGGAAACUAGAAUUAGGAAGGUAAUUUAUUUAUUAAAAUAUAAAAGCGUGAGGAGAAUAGCGCGGUUUUUUUUUUUUCUAUCUACCUAAGAAAGGUGACGGAACUAAAUUCCAAGACAUCCCAACCAUCGAUCCUGGCUCGCGCCACUCAAUGCUAACGGACGAUGGUGGUAACUAUCUGGUGCCGUGGCUCCAUGGCAUCCACUAGUAGGGAUACAGACUUUAAUUCAGAGACAUCCCAUCCACCCUGGCUCGCGCCACUCAAUGCUAACGGACCAUGGUGGUAACUAUCUGGUGCCGUGGCUCUAUGGCAUCCACUAGGGAUACAAACUGGACGGAUGAGUGGAUCCUGGCCCCCAUUUACUUCUGGAAUUGGGGCGGAUCAAUCUUUACUCUUUAUGUUGUCGUUAUUUAUUGUUCGAUUCAGAGCGCUUCAAGACAAAAGUGAUUUGUUGGCGAAUUAGACUGAAUUGAGAAUCGAAAAAUUUUCUACCCCCACUUUAUUUUUUUAGCGGAUCAAGACGGAUUCAAAAUAAUUUUUUUAAAAAAAAUUUGGCUUCCGCUUACCCCCUUGCGGAGUGGAUCGGUGCUGGAACUCUACCACCCCACGGUCUCCUCAUGUCUCUUUCUCUUUUAAUAUUUUAUUUUUUAAAAAGCAAAGGUAGUAUACAUUUUGAACAAAAGAAAAAUUAUGUAUUAUUGUACUGUUUCUGACGAUGAGAUAUCCAAAUUAAUGACCAGUGCCCGAUAAAAUUGAAUUAGAUUAUUUCAAUAGUUCAAAUUUCAAAUUUUAUAAUAUUUCAGCAUCAUUUACUUAGUAAUCAAAUAAUUUCAAAACUAUUUUUUAAUAAUUAAUAUAAAAUAAAUUUAUGAUAACUUAAUCACUAGAUAAAUAAAAUUAAAAAAUUAUAAUAUUUGAGCCUUUAUGAAGUUCAAAUAGUAUAAAUUAUAGGUAUCAAACGUUUCAUUGUUGGAAACAAUUUAAAAGUAAAUGUAUACCUCCAUUUACUUCUGAAUUUAUUCUAAUUUUGUAUUUGUAUGUGUGUGUGUGAGAGAGAGAGAGGAGACCGGGCAGGUUAGAGAUGUUUUUUGCCCGACAUUUAUUAUAGACUCAGUCUGCUGAAGUUAUGACCAGGGAACCUCCCGAAUUUAAGUUCUUUGGUGGUGGAAGCUCCUUAAUACAUGGAUUUCCAAAUAAACUUAGGCCCUGUUUGGAUGCAUAGUUAAAAAACUCCAUGAAAUUUUUAUUCUAUGAUUUUAGUCUAAAUGAAAUACGGAAUCCUAUAACUACAAAAAAAUUUCACAACUCUAUUUUUAAGCUGUUUGGAUACAUAUCAUACAAUUCCACAGAAUUUAUAACUAUUAAAUUUCUAAAAUUUUAAAAUUUAAAAUUCAAAAUUCAAAAUUCAAAAUUCAAAAUUUAAAAAUAAAAUUUUAAAAAUUAAAAUUCAAAAUUCAAAAUAUAAAAAUAAAAUUUAAAAUUUAAAAUUUAAAAAUUAAAUUAGAUUUUCUGUUUUAAAUUUGAAAUUUAAAAUUUGGAAUUUGAAAUUUAAAAUUUGAAAUUUGAAACUUUAAAUAAUAAAAUGUAAAGUAUACCAUUUAAACUUUAAAUUUUGAAAUUUAAAAAAUCUAUAAUUAAAAUUUUAAAUUUUAAAUUUAAUAAUUUAUAAAUUUAAAAUUUAAAUUUAAGUUUAAAUAAAUUUAUUGAAUAAAAAAAUUAAAAAUUAAAAUUAAAUUAAAUUUGAAAUUUGAAAUUUGAAAUUUGAACUUUUUGAAAAUUGAAAUUUGAAAUUUGAAAUUGAAAUUUGAACUUUUUGAAAUUUGAAAUUUGAAAUUUUUGAAAUUUGAAAUUUGAAAUUUAAAGUUUUUGAAUUUGAAAUUUGAAAUUUGAAAGUUGAAUUGAAAUUUGAAAUUUGAAAUUUGAAAUUUGAAAUUUGAACUUUUUGAAAUUUGAAAUUUGAAAUUUGAAAAUUUGAAAUUUGGAACUUUUUGAAAUUUGAAAAUUUGAAAAUUUUGAAAUUUGAAAUUUGAAAUUUUUGAAAUUUGAAAAUUGGGAAAUUUGAAAGUUGAAGUUUGAAAUUUGAACUUUUGAAAUUUGAAUGUAAAAUUUGAAAUUUGAAAUUUGAAAUUUGAAAUCAAAAUUAAAAAUGAAUUUUAAAAUUUUAAAAUUUGAAAUUUAAAAUUUUAUGUUGAAAUUUAAAAUUUAGAAAUUGAUACAUCUUCGGGAGCCCAAAAUGGUGGAAUUUUUUUUCCCUUGGUUAAAGUGGAUUGUAAGUUACUCUUUUUUUUAGAGUAUAGUAUAACUAUACUUCAAAAAUUACGUCAUUUUUUUUUUCUUCCAAACGCUUCAUAGGAUUAUUUUUCUAUCGGCGUAGCAUAGUUUAACUAUGCUACGUUUUUAGAGGUAUCCAAAUGGGGCCUUAAGGGUUUAUUUUUGCUCAUGUAUUUUAUACAAUAAGAUCGAAAUAAUAUUUAUUGAUUCUGAUUGUUGUUGUUUAUUUUAAAGAAAUCAAAAUAAUAUUCAAUGAUUCCCAUUGCAUUCUGAAAUGAAGAUGACCAAAUUUAUUUGUGAUCCAAUUCGAUUUUGAAUUCCGGAUUGAACCAUUCCAAAGUAUAUAUCACUCAAAACCUUCUCUCGGAAACUCCUGGAUCCCCUACCUCCCCCUUCAUCACUCUUUUUUCUCUUAACCAAAAUUCUAUCAAACUCUAGAUAUUUAUUCCGAUUUUCAUUCCGAUAAUAAAUCAAAUAUUUUUGGAUGAUUCGUCAUUCUAUGUUUCAUUUUAAUGCAAUUCAAUUUAUUUUCUAUUUCCAUUUCAAUCAUGAACCAAACAUGUCUGGUAAAUUGCACCACUAGUCCCAAAACUUUUUGCUAAAUUUUAUGGCACGUUUGGUUUGGUUCAAAAUAGAAAUCGGAAUAAGAUUGGGAAUGGAUCGGAAUUGAAAAUAGAAUGAUUAAAACAACAAUUUGUUUGGCUUAUAAAAGGAAUCAAAAUCGGAAUUAUAUUCAAAUUAAUUUUUUUUAUUAAAUUAAAAUUUGUUAUUCAAAUUUUUAAUCAAAAUUUGAAUCCAAAUUUAAAAUUAAAAUUUGAAUGUACAAUUUAAGUUCAACGUCAAAGUCAAAUUUCAAUUUAGAACUAUUAAAUUAAAAUUUUUAAAAUUAAAAAUUUAAAUUUAAAUUUAAAUUUUAAAUUUAAAUUUAAAAUUAUAAUUUGAUUUAAUGAAUUUAUAUUUAGACUUAUAUUUGAAUUCAAAUAAUUAUUAGUAGAAAAGAAAAUUUUCUCAAUCACUUUGGAAUUAAUCAAAGUUGACUCUCACCUCUAUGGUCGGAGUCAUUUUUGAGGGAUUCGAAUUCUCCAAAAUGAGAAACGGAAUGCUAAUCCUUCAACCCAUAUACUUUUUUUGAGAGAUAGGUAGCAUAUUAUUCGCUUCGUUUUAUUUCAUUUAAAAAUAAACUUAGCUGGAAAUGUGAAUCAACUAGCUAGAAUUCGAACUUGGGUCUCGGAUACCAACCACCAAGCCAUUUGCCACUUGCUCUAGGAACGAUCAGUCUUCAACCCAAAUACUAAUAAUAAAAAUAAUUUAUUUCGAUUCCAUUCUAAAUCUCAAAUGCUUUAAAUCAAACACGCCCUUACAUCACUUCUCAAACUUUGAAAUUCGGCAUCAGUGGCCGAAAAAUGUUAAAGAGUUUUAUUUUGGUCCUUUUAUAUAUUUACAAUUAUAGUUUAUUGCGCUACACUGAUCAGUGCAGCUAUGGGUCAAAGUUAUCUUUUUCAUUGUGUAUAUAUAUAUUUUGUUCCUACUAUUGUUGAGUUACAAUUUUUUGCUUUAUAUGAAAGUUUGACAUCUGAAUUAAAAGCGCGAGAUGAAUAAAAUAAUGAUAAAUUUAAAAAGUACAAAUAAAUAGAUGAAAUAGGUGCAACCAAUAAUUACUGAUCUAGGUUAACGCCUAAGAUGAAACAGUUCUAUUGCUGUUGUUGGGAAUUUGGUACUCGCCCCGGUACCGGAUCUCGUGAAUCCGCAACCCGCUCCGAUACCGACUGCUGUGGAUCCAGUAUUGAUUGUUGGAAUUCCGCAACGGAAACGUCAAAUCGGAUUUUUAUCAUAAAUCCGUCUUCUCAGUAAAAACUGAUACAAUCAUAAAAGAGAAAAAUAUGCAGGUAAAAUAAGAUUCAUUAAAUAAGAGAAGAUUACACCUGACUCCUCUUCUACACAGAGUAGCUACAAUUCGAGCCCUCUUUCUUGAAUCUCUUCUACCCUUCUCUCGUCUUCUAUAAACCCACAAAGAAGACAUCUCCGCGUGCACCCGUGCACAAGGUGCACUAAAAUAACUCUCUCACUCUCUCGUUUUCUUUCUCUAGUACGACACCCCAAUGGUUCCAGCCUUACUACACCCAAAAAAGAGAGCCACAAUGCCUAUUUAUAGUGCUCAACUUAAAACGUACCCCAAUCCUAAUAUAUUUAGGAUUCAUGCUUUAAUUAAUAUCUAAAUCUAUCUUAAUCAAUCUCUAAUAGAUUUAAAUAUUAAUCCUAAUCUAGUUAUGUUUAUCCUCUAAUUAAUAUUUAAAUCUUAAUUUAUUUCAAACAGAUUUAAAUAUUAAUUCUUAUCCAAAUAGGAUUUAACUACAAAUCUAACCAAAUCCUAACAUUCUCCACCUUGGUUUGAUUUGUAAUUUUCAACCGCUACGUCGAGCUCACCAUGCAAGCUCCACCUUGAGCAUGUCUCCUCCGCUCGAUGUCGCCGCAUCUGUUGCUCCGUCUUGAGCAACUGCACAUCCGCGAACUUUUGGAACCCAAACCGUCUUCGCUCCCGUUCUGGCUGUGCUCCCAUUCAGAACGUAUAAGUUCCCACGCUUGUUCGCCUCGAAUACUACCCGAUCUCGUUUUCGGACCCUCAUAGCUUUACCUGAAGCUGAAAUAUCGCAACCAUUCGAGUCCAAUGCGCCUAACGAGAUCAAAUUCCGUUUCAAUCCAGGAACGUGCCGCACACCUGUCAGCGUCCUCACUACCCCAUCGUGUAUUCGGAUUUUCACCAUGCAGACUCCCAAUACUUUGCACGCUGUCCCGUUCCCUAUCAGCGCCUUUCCACCUUUGGUCGCCUUAUAAGUGGCAAAAGACUUCUUCUCCGGGCAUACAUGAAAAGAACACGCCGAAUCGAGCACCCACACAUCGUCCGAAAUUUUCGCACCUCCGGUCGCCGCAUACAAUACAUCAGAAUCGAUCAUCUCCGACUCUGCUGUCUGCGCCGUCGCUGAAACCGUCUCAUCCUGGUUCAUGACAGUUUGCUCCUUCUGUCGCUUUAACUCCUUCAGAUCAUUCUGAAGUUUUCGACAAUUGCGCUUGAGAUGCCCCUUCCUGUGACAGUAAAAGUAUUCUACCUCAGAUAUCGGUUUCUUCUGUCGAUAUCCGGUCGCCGAUAUUCUCGCCUCCUUCUUCGCGGUCACCACCAGUCCAACAUCCUGACUUUGCGUGCCGGACUCCUGAGUCAUCUUCCGCAUCUCGUUCGAGAGAAGCGCCGCCGUGACCGCCUCCACGCUUAUGGACUCCUUGCCAGUCACCAGAUGCUCAUAUGUCGUCGGUAGCGAAGAUAGUAGGAUCAACGCCUCGUCUUCGUCAUCCAGAUUGACUCCGAUGCUGGUCAACUGGGCCACCACCUUGUUGAACUCAUUUAGAUGAUCAUGUAGGCUCGCCGCUUCUUGCAUCCGCAACGUAAACAGUCGCUGCUUCAGAUACAAUCUGUUCGUUAGGGAUUUGGUCAUGUACAGAUCUUCCAAUUUCUUCCACAAUUUCGCCGGUGUCGUCUUGCCGGCUACAUUGUAAAGAACCUCAUCUGCUAAUGAUAGAUGAAGCGUACUCAGCGCCUUCCGCUCCAUCUUCGUCCAUGCCGCAUCCGUGACGUCCGCCGGCUUUGCCUCCUUCCCGUUCAACGUCUCGUCUAACUCUUGCUGUACGAGGAUUGCUCGUGCUUUAAUUUGCCAUAAUCCGAAAUUGUUCUUGUCGUCGAACUUCUCGAUUUCGAAUUUCGUGGCCAUCUCCGUCGAUCUCUCCCGCAGAUCGGUAACCUUCGGCUCUGAUACCACUUGUUGGGAAUCCGGUACUCGCCCCGGUACCGGAUCUCGUGAAUCCGCAACCCGCUCCGAUACCGACUGCUGUGGAUUCAGUAUCGAUUGUUGGGAUUCCGCAACAGAAACUUCAAAUCUGGUUUUUAUCAUAAAUCCGUCUCCUCAGCAAAAACUGAUACAAUCAUAAAAGAGAAAAAUAUGCAGGUAAAAUAAGAUUCAUUAAAUAAGAGAAGAUUACACCUGACUCCUCUUCUACACAGAGUAGCUACAAUCCGAGCCCUCUUUCUUGAAUCUCUUCUAUCCUCAUCUCGUCUUCUAUAAACCCACAAAAAAGACCUCUCCGCGUGCACCCGUGCACAAGGUGCACUAAAAUAACUCUCUCUCUCUUUUUCUCUCUCUGGUACGACACCGCAAUGGUUCCAGCCGUACUACACCCAAAAAAGAUAGCCACAAUGCCUAUUUAUAAUGCUCAACUUAAAACGUACCCCAAUUCUAAUAUAUUUAGGAUUCAUGCUUUAAUUAAUAUCUAAAUCUAUCUUAAUCAAUCUCUAAUAGAUUUAAAUAUUAAUUAUAAUCUAGUUAGGUUUAUCCUCUAAUUAAUAUUUAAAUCUUAAUUUAUUUCAAACAGAUUUAAAUAUUAAUUCUUAUCUAAAUAGGAUUUAACUAUAAAUCUAACCAAAUCUAACAGCUGUAUCAAGACAAAUUAAAUGUCCUUCCUUGCUUGAUUUGUCGCAAACAAGCAAGCAGUACACUGCAUACAGUUGGCACAAACCGUCGGUUCGUGCCAACGGCGCUGGUGGAGUCGCGUUGCGACUCACGGGCGAGAAGGGCUGCUAGCUAGAACACACAAACAUCUGCCCAUUCAUGAGGUGAAAGCGGAUCGAGGUGCCACUGGACAAGGCGAGGGAGAGGGAGAGGGAGAGGGAGAGAGAGAUGGGAACUAUAUACUGAUGUCGGACUCAUUCCUCCCACUUAAUUAAUGGAAGCUAGGGCUCCGCCUGGAUAAGAAUACUGUAUGCCUGUAGAUGUUACUACCACGCAGUUGGAUAGCUUGCAGCUGUUUUGGUGCAUGCGCCUGUAGUUAAAAUUAGGAAUAAUUUUAUAGAUGUUCUUCUAGCGACCAUCAAUUUUAUCAAUAUCUUUUUAAAAUUUAUAAUAUUGUGAAUGCCCUUCAAUAUGUCAAAAAUUAUUAUAAAUUAAUAUCCUCCACUAGUUAAGAUCCGAUAAGGUCCAUCUAAAAUGGAGUUAAAUUUUAAAAAUAUCAUUUUUACCAUUUAUCUCUUAUCAAUAGUAAAAAUAACUAUUUAAUAUAUUAAAUAUUAAAUUAAAUUAUUAAUAUAUAUUAAUUAUUAAAAAUAUACAAAAUUGUAUUUUAUAUAUAGUAUGAUUUUAUAUGAUUUUGAUUUUGUUUUUGGUUUCGUAUUUCGAUUCAGAUUCGAUUUGGAUAUAGACUAAAAUUAUAACUGAAUUUGAAUAUAAUGGAAUUUUAUUUCUUAACCUAUAACUGAAACUACUCUUACUCAGCAUCGAUUAAGUUCACUCCAUUCAAAAUCGAGUUCAGAUAAAAUUGUGUACCUCAAUUCAAAUUUCUAAUCAGUAAUAGUAAUUUUAAAAUAAAUGAUAGAUUUAAUUUUUUUUCCUAUUUAAUCAACGUUUUUUUGGCGAUUGAGAAAAAAGGGAGUUUUUUUUAAAAGCUAAAAUAUAUUAUAUUUUAGUUUUUUAAUGCAUUUAGGGGUUGUUUGGUUGUAUAUAGUUACAACUGUACUGUAGUUGUAACUACAUGCAAAUGCAAAUUCGCGUUUGGUUUGAUUUAUUUAACUCCAACUGUUGCAGCAGGAAUUACAAGAGGUUCAACUGCAGCAGUUAGAAUUACACCUAAAUUGACCGCAGUUUCAAAUGUAGCAGAUGGAGAGAGUAACUUUAAACAAAUGAUAAACUUACCUCCUUAAUUAUUUUGUAACUAAAAAAUAAUUUUUUUUUACUUUGAGGGUAAUCUCAUCAUCAUAUAUAUAUAUAUAAUGAUAAAAUUUUAAAAAUUAUUUCUCAACUGCAUUCAACCAAAUAAAUUAUUUAUAGUUGUAGCGCUUUCUAUUACAUCCAAUCAAACAGAAUGUAUGUAGUUGCAAGUUGCAACUGCUGCAUUUCCAACUGCAUGUAUUUUCAACUAUACUGCAUUUUUAAUUACAUCUAACCAAACAGCCCCUUAAUGCAAAUAAAAUUAUUGAGAAUAAUUUUGGUUAAAAUUUUUUUAAGUUUCCAAAAUUAACGAAAGAUCGAAAAAAUCCUCAAGUUUUAUUUUUAUUUAAAUUUUUAUACAUGGUUAUUUAUUUGCUAAAAAAUAAAUAGAGUCACUAGAUUUGGUAAAAUCAUCAAAAAAAAAAAUGAUAAAAUUCUCUUUUUUCAUACACUAAAAUUGGUUAAUUUUACGUGAUAUUCUAACUUGAGAAAACUUCAAAUACCCCUGUAGUUUCGUACUUUCCCAUUUUAGUACGUUAUGGUUUAAAGUGUAUCAAAUUAGUACCCUUUGGUUUUGUACUUUCUCACUUUAGUAUUAUGUGGUUUAAAGUGUAUCAAGUUAGAACCCUGCUGUUUCGUACUUUUUUACUUUAGUACGUUAUGGUUUAAUAUUUCAUUAAAUUAUAUAUAAAAAAAUUUCAGAUACUCUAUCUAGGUUAAUUUAUUGAAAAUUUAUUUUAGUAUCCUUUAGUUUUAACUUUGGCACUGAGUUAAUAAAAAAAAAACACCCUGAAAUGGAUAAUAAAAAAAAAAAAAUAAAACAAUAGGGUACUAACUUGAUACAAAAAUGAAACUACGGAGUACGAACUUGAUACGCUUUAAACCAUAUGGUAUUAAAGUGAGAAAGUAAGAAACCACAUGGUACUAAUUUAUACGCUUUAAACUAUAGGAUACUAAAGUGAGAAAGUACAAAACCAUGAAAAGAUAUUUGAAAUUUUUUCUUUUAAAUUUUAUAGGAGUAUAUAUGAUAUUUUAUACUUGGUUAGAAGUAUUUAUAAAAUUGCCCUUUAAAAUUAUAUUAGGUUAUUGCUGCAUAUGACGUGGGUAUCUCCACUGCGAUUCCAAAAAUAAUUGUGAUAGAAAAAAAAUUUAUUAUAUUUGAGAUGAUAGUAAUAUAUAUUAGAUGAUUAGAACGCGAAGGUUAUUGUCUCUUUGCGAAACGGAUCGUUAAUAAAAGAAUAAUUAAUUUCUGAAGCAACGACAACAGUGAUUGGAUGGAUAGAGGGGUUUUUUAAAGUUUUUCCUUCUUUUAUUGGCUAAUUGUUACAGCGUGACAAAAAAAAACAAGAAGAGAGUAACUGAUCAAAGCUGAGAUUGCCCCACGCGUCAUUCCUGCAUCAACUUAAUUUCUCAUCAGUGGUGGGCACGGUUUCCUGUAAACAUCUCGUGACGUUUUAAAUCUCAAUCACCGUAGCUUUUGUUCAUUUAAACCACAUGUAAUCGGGUGCGAAAAUUACCACCAUCACCGUCAUCAUCAUUAUUAAGCUCCGCCUAUAAUUGAGAAGUUUCUUGGCGAAUUCCAAUCUAGUAUUCCACGGGUGCUGCUAACCUAAAGACACUUGUUUGAUUUGAAAAUGAAAUAUGAAAAUCGACCGUUUCUAGAGCAAGUGACUAAGGAUUUGAUAGUUGGUACCUGAGGUCCCAAAUUUAAAUUCUAAUUGAUUCACAUUUUCAGUUAAGUUUAUAAAUUCUAAAUAAAAUAAAUGAAACGGAUAACGUGCUACCUAUCUCUCAAAAAUAAUAAUAAUAAUAAUAAAAGAAAGAAAAAGAAUAAGAGCCUUUUUCGAAUUAUUCUAAAAUAAUUUGUAUAAAGGAUAGAAUUAUUAUUCCACUCUUUUUUAGAACAAUAAUCUAUUUUAUUCGUAACUCUACUAAUUUAAUAAUAAAGUACUAAUAAUUAAUAUAUUAUAUAUUAUUUUAUUAAUUAAUUAGUUAGAUAAAUAAUUAAUCACUUGAUUUAUUACAAUAAUAAAUCUGUAAUUAACUAUUUGAACAAUUAAUUUAUUAUUUAUAAUUAAUUAGCUAAUAAAAAAAUUAUUAUUUAGUGUGUUUACAUUGAUUAACUAAUUAAUUAAUUAAUAUUUAUAUUGAUUAACCAAAUAAUAUUUUGACCAAUAUAACUAAUUAAAUAACUAAAUAAUUUGUUUAUUAAUUUAUUAACUUAAUUUGUUAGUUUAUAAAAUUAUUUAUAGUUAGUUAAUUUAUUAAUUAACAGUACUCAUUGUGAUAUACUGGAUCUUAGCAAAUAGGCAAAUUUACGGUAUGAAUUUUUAGUCAGCAAUUUUCUAUAGUGCUUGACUGAGUUAGAGACAUUUUGAUGCGAAAUAAAUGCAAAAAUGAACUCAGAAACUCAAAAUUUAACAUGUGGAAACAAAAAUUGAAAUACUUGAAAGGUGAGGGACCUUUUGGUAAUUGUGCAAUUUUAGUGGAGUCCACCUCAGCAUGCUUAUCCAUUUAUGUGUUGGGAAAACCGCAACGAAAAAUUCGAUUGCAAUUAAAAUCUAACUAAUUUGUGAUAAAUAUGAAAUCAAAUUUAUAGAUAAACGUAAAUAUUCUAAUAAAGAUUUUAUCUUAUUCGGAAGCGUGCGAGGCACUACCCUAAGAUGUAUUCCCGUCCUUACGUGUGGGAUUAAUUGGGAACAACACCCUAAGGUACGACCGAAAUUCCUCCUCCUGCGAGUACGAUCGUGAAGGAGAUUGACGGAGAUUCUUUCAACACCCAGUGGAUAAAGAAAAAUUCAAAAAUAAAAGAUGAAAGAAUAAAAUGGAUAAGAAUUAAUCAAUUAUCUAAUAUCUUUUCUACCUAUUCUGUCUUAACAAAGAAGAAAAAGAAAUGGUAUAAAAAGAAAGAGAAUUUCACGCUCUUUCUCGUAACGAGAAAGAGCAGAAUCCGCGCAACGGAACGAAAUUUUGUUUGGCGAAAAAAACGGAACGGAAAAAAAUAUCCCAUUGGUUUCUUUCUCACUAAGAAAAAAAAUAAAAUUAGUAAAUAAAUAAAUAAUAAAAAUAAUAAAUAACAAUAAAUAAUAAAUAAAUAAUUCAAAAUUCAAAUAGAAUAAAAUUUAAAUUUUAAAUUUUUGAGUUUUUUUUACCAACAAUCCCCCACAAAACUCAAAAUUUUAAAAUACAAAUAAAAGUAAAAAAGAAUUACUAGGUGCUUAUACUAUACAAUGGGUGAUCGAGAUGUUUUUAAGAGACUUAAUCUCUCUUAGUGUAAGCAGUUUUUAUUAGAAGGAAUCGGAGUGAAUCAAGUCUUGAAUUACGUUCCAAGUCUUGAACUACGUUUCUUUGACCCUUACUUCAACCACUACACACAUAGUACAGAAUUUUCCGUUACGAGUCUAUGAGUUAAUGGUCAUGCGCAGUAUCUUGAUUUUUCAUAAAAGUUUCUAUAGAUAGCCUACAUCACAUAGCCGCGGCCACAUACGGAUACUCUUAUAUAGAUGGUUUCCUUCAGGGAUGUGUGUAGAGUUACAUAUCGCGAAUAUUACUGCCUUGAAUCCCAUUAAAAGCUAUCAGCUCAAUCUAAUCAAUUACACAGAGCACUACUCAUCAUAGGGAUAGGAUCGGAGCUAAAGCUGAUAGCUUGGCCAACCUGACAGCUUGCUUUUAUCACAUUGAACAUUUUUCAAAUAAUCUCCUAUCACAAAGCUUGAGUUCCUACUGCAGGAAGGCCCAUUAUGGGCAAAGCCCCAUCUCCCUCGAUGAUAUCAGCAACUUAGUCCAGUUCGGACCUUUCAUCAUAUAAUCUGUAAAAUUUUAUUCACAUCUGAUACAAUUUAAAACAAUAACAUUAUGAGAAAUUAGUCAUAUGAUAAUCUUAUAUUUCAACUUUAUAUGCAUGACAGUUAGUCUUAAAAUUUAUCAUUUUGGUUUAAAAAUCGAACACUAGAAUUAAAAUAAGUGAAAAUAAGAGAACCGUCAUGCAUAUAAAGUUGAAAUAUAAGAUUAUCAUAUGACUAAUUUCUCAUAAUGUUAUUGUUUUAAAUUGUAUCAGAUGUGAAUAAAAUUUUACAGAUUAUAUGAUGAAAGGUCCGAACUGGACUAAGUUGCUGAUAUCAUCGAGGGAGAUGGGGCUUUGCCCAUAAUGGGCCUUCCUGCAGUAGGNAUAUUUAAUUUUAAAUAGAUAUUUUAGAGCAAAAUAUUAAUGCAAUUAAUCAACCAAUAUAUGCACUGCAAUCAAAAAUAUAAAAAUUAUUAAAAUAAUUGCUUAAUAAAGGCAAAAUUUAGUUACUUGGCUAAAUCAGUAAAAUGCGGCUGAUGACAACAAAUAUAUAUAAGUUUCACAAGUUUCAGAAAAAUCAAAUGCACGCCCUUUAUUUUAAGGGUAGUUUUUUCUCUCUUUUUUUUUUUUGUUUGGAAAAGCUACAGUAAAAUACUAAUUUUUUUUUAAAAAAAUUUAUAAUAAAAUUAAAUCAAUUUAAUUAUGACAGAAAGGUUUUUUUUUAAAAAAAAUAAUAAAAUGCUUUUUUUUGGUGGAAAAACCCUAAAUUUGAAAGUGUUUUUACUACAGUAAGAAUUCUGUAGCUAAAGAAAGAAAAUGGCAUCUGUUGGGAUUCAAACCCCUAAGCCAGCAUGAACUUUACAGAGGCUCACUAACCUACAACACCAGUUUGGCUACAUCAAACAAUAAUUUACAAACUAAACUAAUAUCCACUAUAUAAUUACAGAAAAAUCGUAUAAAGUAAGUAAAGAAAAUCGGCUCUUCAUUGAAAUCUGAUGAAACUGAUGAAAUCAAAGCACUCCAUUUUGAUAGGCUGAUAAGAGUUUGCAUCUAAGAUGACCACCAGGAUCAAGGACCUAAUCACGAUGAUGUUUGGUAGCAAUAAUUUUUGUCAAAAUCAGUCACCAUAUUAAGCCAUUGAACCCACAAUAUGUGCACUAGCAGCAUAAAAUUACAACGUUUUCAGCUGCUUCACCAUAUGUUGAUAUUUAACUAAACAGAUAUUUUAAAUAUAUAUGCCCUUUUAUUUAUUUAUUUAUUUUACAAGAAACAUUAAGCCCUUUUUUUUGAAAAAAAAGGGUAAUAAUUUUGAUUAGAAAGAAAAAGUGGAAGCUUUGGGAUAUAAUCUCAAAAAAGGGUAAAAUAAUUUCUCUUUUCCUUCUUUUUUUUUUUUUGGGAAAAAGUACGGUAAUAAUUUUUUUUUUUAAGCAAAAGAAAUUUUAUAGUAGCAAAAAGUAUAUUUUGUUUAUGGUAAUGAAACCCUUUUGUUUAAAAAAUAUUGUACACUACAAACUCAUGAAGAUAGAAAAUAAAAAUUAAAUGCAAUUUAAAUUUUUUUUAAAAUGCUACUCCCNUGCUAAUCCCAAUUUGUUUAACUUUGAAUGACCAACAUACAGACAAGUUGUCAAAUAAACCUAUAUGGAAUAUCCAUUUAUUUUUUUUUUAAGGAUUAGCCUCUGUUAGAUUUAAUCACAAUCAGAUUAGCAAUACGCUUUAGAUUGUUGGGGAAAACUGCAACGAAAAAUUCGAUUGUGAUUAUCUAACUAAUUCGUGAUAAAGAUAAAAUCAAACUUACAGAUAAACCCAAAUAAUCCAAUAAAGAUUUGAUCUUAUCCGGAAGCGUGCGAACGUAUUCCCGUCCUUACGUGUAGGGGUGGAAACGAGCCGAGCUCGAGCGAGCUUACCUCAGCUCAAGCUUGGCUUGAAAUGAAUUUCGAGCCUAAAUUUAGGCUCAAGCUUAGCUUGAAAUUAAUUCGAGCCGAGCUUGAGCGCGCCUAAUUUCGAGUCGAGCGAGCUCGAGCCCUAAACGAGCUGCUUGAAAUUCUUAAUAUCAUGCAAUCUAUACUUUAAUUUUUAUAAAAUAUUAUCUAAAAUUUGAUAUUAAAAAUAUCUAAUUGUUUAACAUAUAAAAUAAAUGCAUGAAAUACGAUAUUAUAAUACUAAAAAGAUUAGGAAAAGCGAUUCUGCGAGGAAGUGAAAAAGAGAGAAAGAGAGCAAUUAUAGUAGAAUUUUGCUGGUUUGAUUUUGUGGGCCCAAUAAUCUAAAUUCUAUUUACAUAUAAUUAAAAUAGAUAAUAUAUAUUAUUUUAUAUAAUUAAAAUAUAUAUUAUACAUAAUUAUAUAUAUAGAGAGAGAGUUUGGCUACUAUAUAUAUUUUUAUGAAUAUAAACCCCUUUAUACUCAUAAGUUUUCGACCGUUAGAUCUAUUCUUUUGAUCAUUUUCAUCUGUUAAAUCAUACUAUUCAACGAACCACCCACUCAAUCUUAGGGGACCACUAUCAUUCUAAUCGCACAUCCAACGGCUGAAAAUUUAUAAGUAUAAAGGGGUUUAUACUUAUAAGAAUAUAGUAGCCCAAGCAUAUAUAUGUAGAAUUAGGCUACUAUACUAUUAAUAGCACAAACCGCUUGCUAUUAGGUUUUCGGCCCUUGGAUGAAAGGAUGUGUGGUUAGGAUGAUAGUAGCUCCCUAGGGUUGAGUGAGUGGCUAGUUGUAUAUUAUAAUCUAACGGAUGAAAAUGACUAAAGGGAUAGAUUUAACAGCAGAAAACUCGAUAGCACCAAAUGCUUAGUACUAUCGAUAGUAUAAUAGCCGGACUCUAUAUAUAUAUAUAUAUAUAGGCAGAUCUAACGGCAAAAUACUCAAUAGUACAAAGCGUUUAGUACUAUAGAUAGUAUAGAUAGUAUAGUAGCCGGACUAUAUAUAUCGAGAGAGAGAGAGACAAAGAGCCCGACUACUAUAUUAUCGAUAGUAUUAAAUGCUUUGUACUAUCGAAUUUUGUGCCGUUAGAUCAUAUUAUUCAACUAACCACUUACUCAAUCCUAGAGGAUCACUGUCAUUCUAACUGCACAUUCCUUCAUCCAAAGGUUGAAAACCUAAUAGCAAGUGGUUGGUACUAUUAAUAGUAUAGUAGACUAUAUAUAUAUUUCGAGCUUUUCGAGUUUAAUUCGAGCAAGCAGAGUAAUACUCAAGCUCGGCUUGAAAUUAAUUUCGAGCUGAAAUUUAGGCUCAAGCUUCGUUGAAAUUAAUUCGAACCGAGCUCGAGCGAGCCAAAUAUCGAGCCAAACACGAGUCGAACACGAGCUGGCUUGCUCAUUUGCCAGCCCUACUUACGUGCGGGAUUAACCUGGAACAACACCCCAAGAUACGACCGGAACUCCUCCUAAAAAAUUUAUAAUAUAAAAUUUAAAUUUAAAAAAGUAAAUUUAUUUAUUAUAUACUAUUGGAAAAUAUCUAUCUUAUUUUAACUCAAAUUUAAAUAGUUGUUGCCAACAAUAAUUAUAUAGUUUUUUUUAUUUUAUAAAAUUUAUAUAUAGUGUAGAUAUAGAGAUACAUCAAAUAUUUUUCUAUAUUUUUAAGAAAAAACUUUAAAUACCACCUUUGUGAUUUCACACUUUCUCACUUUAGUACCCUGUGGUUUAAAGUGUAUCAAUUUAGUACCUUGUGGUUUCAUUUUAUCAUUUUAUUAUCGAUUCCACUAAUAUUUUUCGUUAAAUCGGUAAAAAAGUUAAAAUUAAAGGGUACUAAAGUGAAUAUUCAAUAAAUCUAGAUAGGUUAUCUGAAGUUUUUUUUGUAUAUAAUUUAACGAAAUAUUAACAAAAAAACUGACGAAAAGAUAAAAAUGAAACCACAUAACACUAAUUUAAUACACUUUAAACCACAGGGUACUAAAAUGAGAAAGUGCAAAACCACAUGAGUGAUAUUUGAAGUUUACCCUACUUUUAAAUUCAAAAUAUAAAUAUAUAUUUUAAAAUAAAAGUAUCAAAAUUAAAAAGUUAAUAUAAUAAUAAAAUAUUAGUAGAUAGAAUAGAUAUAAUAUAUAAAUAUUUAUCUUAAAAAAAAGAUAUUGAAUAAUAAAAAUUAUUUAAUAAAAAAAUAAAGCAUUAAUAGUUCAAGAAAAAAAGAGGACUAUCAUUAUGCUAUUUAUUUUACGUAAGAAAAAAGAGAAAUUUUGAAAUGGGUCCGUCGAUAGACUAAAAUUUGCAAUACGUACUUGGUGCUAUCAAGCACUUGUCGACAGACUAUUGAUCGCACCAAGCACUUGUGCUAUCAAGUUUUCACCCGUUAGAUUAUACUAUUUAACCAACAACUCACUCAAUCCUAGGGGGCCCACAUUAUUCUAACGGUAUAUUUUUCUAUCCUAGGGCCGAAAAUUUAAUAGUACCAACAACUAAUUAGUGUAUAGUAUUUCAGCCUAGUUAUAUAUAUAUAUAUAUAGAGAGAGAGAGAGAGAGAGAGUUUAACUGUGAUACUAUUAGUAGCAAAAUCCCAUUGUUGCUACCAGUUUUUUAAUCUUUGGAUCAACUCUUUUCAUUAUUUCUAACAAUUGGAUUAAAUACUAUAACCCAGUGGGGACCACUCAACCCUAGGGGGACCACUCAACUCUAACAGACUAAUAUCAUCUUUACCCUACAAUUUUUCAUCCAAGGAUUAAAAACUUGAUAAUAAAAAGAGCGUUUUACUAUUAAUAGUAUUCUAGCCUAAUUCUAUAUAUAUAUAUAUAUAUAUAUAUAUAUAUAGAGUUGAGCUAGAAUACUAUCGAUAGCAAACGGGCUCCGUUGCCACCCAUUUGUUUUCGAUGAUAGAGCCUCCAAAUCGACGAUCGNGAAGUUCAAAUAGUAUAAAUUAUAGGUAUCAAACGUUUCAUUGUUACCGACCGUCCCUAGAGCAAGUGGCAAAGGGCUUGGUGGUUGGUACUCAAGACCCAAGUUCGAAUCAUAGUUGAUUCACAUUUCCAGCUAAGUCUAUUUCUAAAUAAAAUAAACGAAACGGGUAGCGUGCUACCUAUUUCUCAAAAAAAAAACGUUUCAUUGUUGGAAACAAUUUAAAAGUAAAUAUAUACCUCCAUUUACUUCUGAAUUUAUUCUAAUUUUGUAUUUGUAUGUGUGUGUGUGUGUGUGUGUGUGUGUGUGUGUGAGAGAGAGAGAGAGAGAGAGAGAGAGAGACCGGUGUCACGGCCUUAGCGGUUCUGUUCGCAAAGCCCGUGCGGCGCCCGCCUUCCUGCUCGAAGAUGGGCAAGCCUUCGUCCCUAUUGCUAGUUCGGACCUUCGCGUCCUACGAUUAAGUAUGCAAAGGAAAAUGACAAAGAGAGGAGGUAGAGGUUCACUCAAAAACUAAGUACUCCACUACUUAGAAAAGAGAUUACAAUACACAUACACACACACUCCCUCUUGUGUGUUUUGACCUUAACCAAAACCCCACUAUUUAUAAGCUCCUAAAUACAAUGAACUUAGACACACACUAACUCUUUCAUUAUGAGACACAUUAACUCACCUUCAUAAUGAACCAUAAGCUCAAAAGUCACCCCAUAACUCAUCCACUAUUGCAUACAUAAUGAGCCCUCAUAAUAGCCAAAAGCUCAAGAGUCACCCAUAACUCCCAUGAGUUUCAUAACCCUUGAGUUUCCCACAGCUGGUUGGGUUUGGGUCUCCUUGACAACCCGAUUCAACCUGUUUUGAACCUGUUUCGCUAGCAGAUUUGGGCCACUGUCAAGGAGAAGUUAGCGGGAAAAAUUUUGCCCUUGACAUUCUCCCCCACCUAACGCGCAGACGCCCUCGUCGCGCGCCGAGUCGCUGCCAGUCCGCAUAGCCUUCUCAUCGCUUGGUUGUCCACGAACUGCGUUGACGAGAUUUAGCGUGCCCAUCCUUGGCAGCUCGACCACGUCCUUGCCCUCCUCGGCUUGGACCGCAGCAACCUAUUUACCUUUGUAGUUGCUCCUGUUUGGGCAGUCCCGCGCCCAAUGAUUCUCGCCGCAAACAUAGCACGAGAUCGUUGCAGGCGGCGGGGCGGGAUUCUGCUAUUGCUUCCUCGCAUCACGGUUUGGCUUGUGCCCUUUUGCGCCCCCUGGAUCGUGGUACUCUCCCCCACCUCUGGCCUCGCUCGCCUUUGGUAGUUCAUCUCGAUCGCCCUCGGUUCGCUCCCGCUCGGGCAACUUCUCCGCCAAAGCAAUCGUGGAGUUCAGGUCCUUCACGUCUCGCGCCACGAGCUCCUUGUUCGCCCAUGGCUGAAGGCCAUCUAGGAAGAAGAAUAGCCGAUCCUCAUCGGCCAUGUUGGUGAUCGCCAAUAUCAGUUUCGAGUACUCUUGGACAUACUCUUUCAAGGUUCUCGAAUGUUUGAGCCGUCGAAGUUGCCUCCUCGCAAAAUAUUCGACGUGCUCGGGGUAGAACUGCGCCUUGAGCUCGCGCACAAAGUCCUCCCAUGUCUUCAGUUGGCAUUGGCCUUUUUCGGCCUCUGCAGAACGUCGACGCCACCACAGCAUCGCGUUGUCAGUAAGGUACAUGGACGCAAUCUGGACUUUCUCCUCCUCCUCGUCCAGCCGCAACGCCUUGAUGUAGCGCUCCAUGUGCCACAGAAAAUUGUCGAUUUCCUUCUCAUCGCGUGUACCCUUGAAAUUUUGAGGCUCAGGAAUACGUACCUUCGAAGCGGACUCUCUUUGGGGUUCAUGGCCACGCGCCACCGCCUUCUCAAGGAUCGUUACUCUCGUUUUGAGGUCCUCGACCUCGUCGACUCGAGCAACGAGCUCCUUGAUCAGUUUCUUUCGCUUCUCGUCACGACGCUUCAUGUUGGCUUGGAGCUUUUCAAGUUCGCUUCGAAAUGUCUCCAUGGCAGUAGCGACGCUUUCCUCCAUGCUGUGGACAUCUUCGUUGAAUGAGUUAAAGGUAUCGGCCAUUUCGGUGUACCUUUCACCUAUUUUUGCGAUGAUGUCCUCCAACAGCACAAGACGGUCCUCCAACGACGCCGAAUCACUCGUGAUUCGUUGAAGGUCUUUGCUCGUGCUUCGCUUGGAGGGUCGGCCCCAACGUCGACAAUUCCCGCAUCGGAUGACGACAUGGUUCCUCACUUGAACCUGGUUUUGAUACCAACUGUCACGGCCUUAGCGGUUCUGUUGGCAAAGCCCGUGCGGCGCCCGCCUUCCUACUCGAAGAUGGACAAGCCUUCGUCCCUAUUGCUAGUCCGGACCUUCGCGUCCUACGACUAAAUAUGCAAAGGAAAAUGACAAAGAGAAAGAGGUAGAGGUUCACUCAAAAACUAAGUACUCCACUACUUAGAAAAGAGAUUACAACACACAUACACACACACUCCCUCUUGUGUGUUUUGACCUUAACCAAAACCCCACUACUUAUAAGCUCCUAAAUACAAUGAACUUAGACACACACUAACUCUUUCAUUAUGAGACACAUUAACUCACCCUCAUAAUGAACCAUAAGCUCAAAAGUCACCCCAUAACUCAUGAACUAUUGCAUACAUAAUGAGCCCUCAUAAUAGCCAAAAGCUCAAGAGUCACCCAUAACUCCCAUGAGUUUCAUAACCCUUGAGUUUUCCAAAGCGGGUUGGGUUUGGGUCUCCUUGACAACCCGAUUCAACCCGUUUUCAACCUGUUUCGUUAGCAGACUUGGGCCAUUGUCAAGGAGAAGUUAGCGGGAAACAUUUUGCCCGUGACACCGGGCAGGUUAGAGAUGUUUUUUGCCCGACACUUAUUAUAGACUCAGUCUGCUUAAGUUAUGACCAGGGAGCCUCCUGAAUUUAAGUUCUUUGGUGGUCGAAGCUCCUUAAUACAUGGAUUUCCAAAUACACAAGGGGCGUGUUUGGUUCACUUCUUUUUCACCCUAGAAUCGGAAUCAGAAUCGGUAUAGGUGAAUCCGUUUGUGGGUGUUUGGUAUGCGGGAGUCCCAUUCCGAUUCCGAUUUCCAAGUGGAAUGGGAAUCCCUCAAUCAUCUCUUUUUUCAAUCCGGCCUAAAAGGUCGGAUUGGAAGUUGAAUCCGAACGGAAUGAAUAUUUAUUCGGAUUAAAUUUAUUUUUUUCAACUUUUUUAAUUAAAAUAUUAGUUAAAAUUAAAAAAUUAAAUAUAUAAUUUUAAAUUUUAAUUUGAAGUUAAAUUAAAAAUUAAAAUUUUAUCAAGUAUUUCGAAUCCAACUUAUGAAUUUGAAUUUAAAUUAUGAAAUUAAAUUAAUAUAUUAUAAAGAUAAUGUUAGUAUAUUAAUUUGAUUACGUUUUUUAUAUCCACCUGAACGAAACACGGACAAUGGGAAUGAUUUAUUCUGAUUUCGAUUCAGGUGAUGAACCAAACAAAAUUAGGUAAUGAGUCAUUCCGAUUCCGAUUCCAGCUUAUUUUGAUUCCGAUUUCGAUUCCGACUCCGACUUCGAACCAAACACGCCCUAAGGGUUUAAUUUUGCUCAUGUAUUUUAUACGAUAAAAUCGAAAAAAUAUUUAUUGAUUCUGAUAGUAGUUGUUUAUUUUAAAGAAAUCGAAUUUCGAUUCCCAUUGCAUUCUGAAAUGAAAAUGACCAAAUUUAUUUAUGAUCCAAUUCGAUUUUGAAUUCCGGAUUGGACCAUUCAAAAGUUUAUAUCACUCAAAACCUUUUCUCGGAAACACCUGGAUCCCCUACCUCCCCCUUCACCACUCUUUUUUCUCUUAACCAAAACUCUCUCAAACUCUAGAUAUUCAUUCCGAUAAUAAAUCAAAUAUUUUUAGAUGAUUCGUUAUUGUAUGUUCCAUUUUAAUGCAAUUCAAUUUAUUUUCUAUUUUCAUUUCAAUCAUGAACCAAACAUGUCUGAUAAAUUGCACCACUAGUCCCAAACUUUUCGCUAAAUUUUAUGGCACAUUGGUUUGGUUCAAAAUAGAAAUCAGAAUAAGAUUGGGAAUUGAUCGGAAUCGAAAAUAGAAUGAUUAAAACAACAAUUUGUUUGGCUCAUAAAAAGAAUCAAAAUCAAAAUUAUAUUCAAAUUAAAAUUUUUUUAUUAAAUUAAAAUUUGUUAUUCAAAUUUUUAAUCAAAAUUUGAAUCCAAAUUUAAACUUAAAAUUUGAAUAUGCAAUUUAAGUUUAAGGUCAAAGUCAAAUUUUAAAUUUAGAACGAUUAAAUUAAAAUUUUUAAAAUUAAAAAUUUAAAUUUAAAUUUAAAAUUAUAAUUUGAUUUAAUGAAUUUAUAUUUAGACUUAUAUUUGAAUUCAAAUAAUUAUUAGUAGAAAAAAAAAUUUUCUCCAUCACUUUGGAAUCAAAGCUGACUCUCACCUUUAUGGUCGGAGUCAUUUUUUAGGGAUUCGAAUUCUCCAGAAUGAGAAAAGGAAUGCUAAUCCUUCAACCCAAAUACUAAUAAUAAAAAUAAUUUAUUUCGAUUCCAUUCCAAAUCUCAAAUGCUUUAAAUCAAACACGCCCUUACAUCACUUCUCAAACUUUGAAAUUCGGCAUCAGUGGCCGAAAACUGUUAAAGAGUUUUAUUUUGGUCCUUUUAUAUAUUUACAAUUAUAGUUUAUUGCCUACACUGAUCAGUGCAGCUAUGGAUCUAAGUUAUCUUUUUCAUCGUGUGUAUAUAUAUAUAUAUAUAUAUAUAGAGUGAGGCUACUAUACUAUCGGAAGCACGGAGCCUUCCGUGCUUCCAGCUCGCUUUCGAUGUUGCGACUUUCAAAUCGUCGAUCGACUCCGUUAAACUUGAUCUAGAGUAUUUAGAGUACCUAGAAAAUAAAUUUUAUGAUUUUACGAUUUCAUUUGCCUAGUGAACGAAGGGGCUCAAAAUCAACGGCUGAAAAUAAAAAUCUUACAAAAUGUAAUAAUAUGACAUUAAAAUUUUAAAUCAAAGAUAUUGAUCUUAUUUUAUAUAGUAUAAAGAAUUUUCUAUCAAAAUUUCACGUGAUUUGGAUAUUUCUACACCGUUAAACUUGCAAACGGCUCACUACGACCAUUGAAAUUUGUUGAUUUUGAGCCCAUUCGAUCACUAGGCAAAUGAUAUCGAAAAAUAAUAAAAUUUAUUUUCUAGGUACUCCAAAUACUCUAGAUCAAGUUUAACGGAGCCGAUCGACGAUUCGAAAGUCGCAACAUCGAAAAUGAGCUGGAAGCACGGAAGGCUCCUUGCUUCCGAUAGCAUAGUAGCCUCACUCUAUAUAUAUAUAUAUAGAGAGAGAGAGAGAGAGAGCUAGGCUAGUAUACUAUCGGUAGCACGGAGGCCUCCGUGCUACCGAUAGUAUACUAGCCUAGCUCUCUCUCUCUCUCUCUCUCUCUCUCUCUCUCUCUCUCUCUCUCUCUCUCUCUCUCUCUCUCUCUCUCUCUCUCUCUCUCUCUCUCUCUAUAUAUAUAUAUAUAGAGAGAGAGAGAGAGAGAGAGUCCGGCUAUGGUGCUCGUAAAAGCACCAAGCAUUUGGUGCUUGUAAAUUUUUUACCGUUAAAUUUCUGUCUUUGAUCAUUUUUACCCGUUAGAUUAUACUAUUCAACCAACCACCCACUCAACCCUAGGGGACCCACAUCAUCCUAACUGCACAUCCAUUAAUCCAAAGGCCAAAAACUUACAAGCACUAAUAACUUGGUACUUUUAAAAGCAUAGGAGCUCAAUUCUAUAUAUAUAUAUAUAUAUAUAGAGAGAGAGAGAGAGAGAGAGAGAGAGAGAGAGAGAGAGAAUACUAUCAGUAGCAAAAGGGUUCCGUUGUCAUCCAUUUAUUUUCAAUGAUCGAGCCUUCAAAUCGAAGAUCAGCACCGUUAAACAUGAUUUAUACUACUUGAAGCAUUCUAGAAAUCAAAUUUCAUACUUUUUCGAUAUUGUUCUCCUGUCCAUCAAGUGGAUACAAAAAUGAACGGCUAAAAAUAAAUAUUCUUUAAAAAAUAAAAAUAAUAAUAGGAGUUUUGUAAUCAAGAUCAAAAGUAUAGAUUUUAUUUUAAAUAGUUAAAAAAAAUUCUAACCAAAAUUCAACAGGUUUGGAUAUCAUUAUGUUAUUAAAAGAGAAACGUAACGUUAAAAUUACGAAUUUUAAAACCCUUUGAUAAUUAGGUCAAUGAUAUCAAAAAAACUUGAAAUUUAAUUUUUAGAUACUUCAAAGGAUAUAAGUCAUGUUCAACGAUAUCAAUCGUCGAUUUGAAGGCUCAAUCAUUAAAAAUAAAUAGGUGGCAGCAAAACUUGUUUACUACCAAUAGCAUUUCAACCUAUCUCUCUCUCUUUCUCUCUCCCUCCCUCUCUCUCUCUCUCUCUCUCUCUAUAUAUAUAUAUAUAGAGAGAGAGAGAGAGAGAGUUGAGCUAGAAUACUAUCGGUAGCAAACGGGCUCCGUUGCGGCCCAUUUGUUUUCGAUGAUGGAGCCUCCAAAUCGAUGAUCAAAAUCGUUGAAUAUGAUCUAUACCACUUAAAGUAUCUAGAAAUCAAAUUUCAUACUUUUUCGAUAUUGUUCUCUUGUCCAUCAAGCGAGUGUAAAAAUGAACAGCUGAAAAUGAAUAUCCUCUAAAAAGUGAUGAUAGAAAUUUUGUAAUCACGAUCAAGAGUAUAGAUCUUAUUUUAAAUAAUUUAAAAAAUUUUCUAACAAAAAUUCAAUUGAUUUGAAUAUUUUUACACCGUUAAAUGAGAAAACGCCUCAUAUCAACCAUUAAAAUUACAAAUUUUGAAACCCUUUGAUCAUUAGGCAAAUGAUGUCGAAAAGAUGUGAAAUUUAAUUUUUAAACACUUCAAGUGGUAUAGAUCAUAUUCAACGAUGCCGAUCGUCGAUUUGGAGGCUCCAUCAUCGAAAACAAAUGGGUGGCAACGAAACCCGUUUGCUAUCGAUAGUAUUCUAGCUCAAUUUAUAUAUAUAUAUAUAUAUAUAUAUAUAUAUAUAUAUAUAAAAGACCUCUUGUUUGGUGCUUUAGCUGCUACUCCAGUUAUAAGCCGUUGGACAAAACAUAGAAAACCCAAAAAAAAAAUAAAAAAAUAAAUCAAAUAACACUGCUCGGCUACGCAUAACAUUGCUGGCCACAAAGUAAAUCCAACUAACCCUUAUCUUCUUAACAGCUUUCUCUAACAGCAGUUACGUAAAACUCCCGAGUUAACAAAACAAAGAUCUUUAAGACCUAGAGAGGACAUCUCAAAGUUCACAGAAAAUACUUCAUAACACUCACACUGCUGGCAAUUGGUUUCUCAUAUUUACUCAAAGAUUGAAAACUGUAACGCAAAAAAACUGAGCCCGUAAGAUAGAGUUUGGUGCAUCCAACCAGCAUCACACACUCACACACUCGCAAAACCAAUGCAAGUUUACAAUUUCACAUUUCAAAUUACUUUUAACCGGUUGGCUCAGUAACGAGUAAACAAAAGAUUUUUUACACAAUGUACUUCAUACUACUUUCUGUUACACUGCAUUUUGCACAUCGGCAUAUUUUGUGAAGAUUGAAGAAUCAGAAAAAUGAGACAGAAACUCACAAUACAACACAAUGCCACAAGACAAGAACGAUAGUGUGAGGAACCGGAAGGAGAGAGAAGAGGUACCUAUCAAUCUAAGGCCAAUUGGUGAAUUCAAACACCUUUUGCACUAUAUCGAACCCGGUUGGGAUCUGCCAUAUGAACAACAGGACGUUCAAUGUGUUCAAUGCAAUGUGGAGAUUCCUUGCAGUCUCAUUUCCCUUCUGCAUGGCAGGGACAAGCGCUGCGGCCGCUGCCCACAGCACAGUGAUAGCUACAACAACAGAUGAGCACACGCAAAUAUUUGGAAAAAUGAGUUUGCAAUUGUAAUGCUACUAUGAUUGAGGACAAAAAAAAUUUUGAAUAGAUGCUAUCAUAUACCACCAAGUUUUUGUUGUUAUUGUUUGGCGGUAGGAUUUCUUGUUCAUGGGCUGAUGGCUAUCAUUCUGUGUGAAUAGUAGACUAUCCUAAAUGUUUUUUGUCAAAAUAAAACAUAUUUAUAGUAGAUAUUCUACGAUGACGAUGGAUAGAGGUAAAAGACUUUCUUGAUCCUCAGAUAGAUGAAAAUAUAGCACGCACGCGAAUAAUCUAGCAUACCUUUUUCUAUAAUAAAUAAAAUACAGUUAAUAACUAAAUUAGCCAUUAGAGUUUCACCCUCAAACUUCUUAUUAUAACAAUCUAGUCUACCGACCGCCCCUAGCGCAAGUGGCAAAGGACUUGGUGGUUGGUACCCAAGGUCUCAAAUCCGAAUCCUAGUUGAUUCACAUUUUCAGCUAAGUUUAUUUCUAAAUAAAAUAAACGAAGCGGGUAGUAUGCUACCCAUCUCUUAAAAAAAAAAAAAAACAAUCUAGUCUCUGAAAUUUGUUCUGCAUACCAAUUGGGUUCUUAGUUACUCCAGCCUAGGAGAACGAAAUUGAAACUAUUAUAGUUGAACUUCUGAGGAUGAAAUUGAAAUUUGCAUCACACUACAUGGACUAAAUUAGUAAUUAAUCCUGUAUAAGUGUACACACUACAUGGACUAAAUUAGUAACUAAUCCUGUAUAAGAGUACACAAAUCGUAAGAAGCUUACGAAGAAUAUAAUCAUCUUCCAGUUUUCUUUACAUUCUCCUUAGUACUUAAAGAGGUCAAUGUAGUAUUGCACGAGGGAUUAAGAGGGCACAAUCACAAAGAGAUUAGAAGAAUAUUUCGAAUUUUCCUCAUCUUUCUAUUUUAUCUGGCAAUUUUGAAAAUAUAAACAGGAUGUGCAGUAUUUAUCACUAUAAAGGAUGAAGCACCAACAAUACAGUCCACUGCUGAGGAUACCAUUACGUAAUGACAAUGAGGCCAAAGAACUUAUAAUAAAGCAAGAUUUAAGUGCCCAUCGAUAUAGGCUGUAUCUACCAUACUAUAUCGUGCCAACAAAAUAUCAGCACGAUACAGCUCCCAUACCGAUGGCACAGCUCAAAACUCUCUUUUCUUUACAUUAGUAAGUAAUUUUUUCAAUAAAGUUCAAAAGACUUGAUAAAGAUACAUAAUAAGCAAUUAAAAUAUUUUGUUGCUAAAAAAAAUAAAUACUUUAUGUAAUUAUAUGUAGGUAACACAUAUAUUUUUUGUGACCAGCAUGCAUCGGCACAGUCCGGCACGCACCAUAUCAUACCGUGCCGGCAAGUUUUCGACACGACCCCGUGCCACGGAACUUAAAUCCUUGCGAGAAAAAGCCUUGACAAACGAUCAUUCACUCAAGAUUCAGUAUUUCUAAAUCACCAAAAAUUACACUACUUUUUAGUAAUCAACAGGGAAAGUUUUUAUUCUCAAAUUCUGGUUUUGAACAAAACUAUUUCCUACUGUCGCUAACAUAAGUACACUGAGCAAUCAGAUUAAGUUGACAGAUCCAUGUAUUGUUGCCGACUACAGCCCCUAUGCCAACUACAGCCCCUAUGAUUAAACACUUUCCUGGGAACAAAUCUGCCAGGGAAAGUAGUUUCAAUUCAAAGUAUUUUAUUUUCUGUGGUAAAUGAGUAAGUGGCAAUCUCUCUACCCAACACUUAAUAUACCAAAAGCAUCGAGGGUUGGUAUUCCGAAAGCACUUUACGCUGACUAUACAAAAUAUAUGUACAAGCAGACAAAGAAUGACAGGGCCACCAGUAUUGGAGUGCUAAAGAAAAAGAAUGAUUGAAUAAUUGAGUUAGGUUUUCUAUACACUUGGGCUCGAAUUUAAUCUCUCACAAGAAGCGAAGAAAGAGACUAUAAUUACUAUUGCACUCUGAUUAUAGCCAUAGAUAAAUGUAGUCCUGGUCUAAGUGUUUGACUUCGGACAAAGAGCCGUAAUUGGAAAAGGUCACCUAUCCAUUUCAUAGAGUAUUAUACAUGUGGAAAUCCAAGGAAGGAAACAACCCCAGAUCCGCCUAGACUUUGAAUUGAUUGCAAAUCGCUCAAAUACUAGAAGUUGGAAAGAUGAAAUUUAUUAUGUGAAUAAUUGAUUUGCACUAAUCAACUACCCAGCUUGAUUUUCUCGCCUUCUAUCUGCUGUCGUUACGAGAUGGUCAUGCGACAGGAAAGAUACUAGAAAUGAAGUUGAAAAUCUAACGUUAGAAAAUUUAGUGCUAACGUAAACCCUUUCCACAAAAUUUAGGGUUAAUUGACCCUGUCCGGCAAGAAAAUCCCGAACAGGAUGUAAACCCUUCCCAAAACCAAAUCUGAACAAAUUUUAUUUCAAAUGGAAUUCAAAUCAAAUCUGAUCCAGGACCCAUAAUAUGAAGAUUAAAGAUGCUUAAUAGAUUCUUAAGCUAAAUUAAAUAGAGCAGCUAAGGCAUCGUCCGGUAUUAUCACAGUUUGUUCAUUUUCGUGAACACAAACUCUAUCCAAUGGAACAUAGGUAAGUUCAUCUACUAGUGCAUCCAACCACAUAUAGUUCUUUUAUGAAACAAAUAGAAAAAACAGUAAGAAAUCUAAGUGAGCUGUAACUAUUUAACAACUAGUCAUUCCCCCUUUCUUUGAUAAUAUAUACAUGGUAUCUCUAAAACAGCAUUUCUAUUUGAGAAACUAUAGAUUUUCAGCCUCCUUUGGGUACACUUCUGCUUGUAAUCUGUACGACAAAAACCAAAAGCUUACUAGUAACAUCUUUUUUGCUUCUUUUUUGUAACAAAGAUGCCUUUUGGCAAUUGGCCAGACUACAUCGCAAGCUAGCCAAUGAUGACAAAAGUAGCGAUGUCCCUCUAUUGGCACAUCCAACCACAGAAUUGUUACAUAUAAAAAUUAAAAAAACAACAGCAAUACCAAACAAGGUAUAACUACAUUAAUUUUAUUAGUUAUACUUUUUCUUUUGAUAAUAAUAUGCAGUAUACAAUAAGUGUGAAACAACCGAUGUACUCUAAAAGCUUAAGCUGUUAGAGAACGGUGUUUAAACAUUUUUAUAUUUAACACUCCCCCUCACGUCUGGGCUCGAAACCUUUUAAUCAGCCCAUGACGUGGGCUUGAAUUAAAUGGGAGGAAAUUAAUAUGCUAGGAGUCUGGCGUGACUCGAACUCAGGACCUCCUGCUCUGAUACCAUGUGAAACAACCGUUGUACUCUAAAAGCUUAAGCUGUUAGAGAACGGUGUUUAAACAUUUUUAUAUUUAACAAUAAGAAUGUUCUUAGUCAAGAAACUAAAAAUUUAAGGCCAAAUUUGGUUAGACUUGACACUUGCUUUGUUUUCUUAACAGUGAAAUUUUAUGCGACUGAAUGUGCUAGCAUAUGACAAAUUAUUAGCAAACUAUAUAUGUAUAAAGUUUGUUCAGCCAGAGGAAAAAAGAAAAGAAAAAAAAAAAAAUUAGUGACAACUUAUUUCACUUGUUUCCUUUUUUUGUGAAGAAAAUGAGUUUGCAAGCUAAUCAACACGUCCCAAGAAUAAAAAAGUUCAUCCAUUAGUGCGUUCAAAUGCAUGGAAAUGUAAGCAUAGUGAAACAAGGCUUUAAAAUCGUUGAUUUGUAAUUUCAAUUUUCAUGUAAAAAUAGGACCGACACUAGAUUGGGUCCGGAUGUAACUUCUAAAGCAUCAAUGGUUAAAUCGCCUAGUGUACAAAAGUUCCCUACACAGAAAAUUCGCAAUCAAUUUCCAAUGUAUGAAAAUCUUCUUUUGGAUCAGCCAGUCAGCAACUUUAGUAAAAUCACAAUUUUAAGGCGCUAGGUCACAUACUAAAACACUCGACCUAUCGUGUCCUUACAACAGGUAUUAACAGGUUGUGACAAUGCAUGGGACAAUCUCACAGACCCAGUUCUUUUCUUAUUUUUCCUUCAGUGGUCCUCAAGAAAUGCUACAUGCUAUAUAUAAGACAGAUCUCAAAGUGGAAGCAAUAAAACAAGCGCAGGUAAAAACAGAGGGGGAAGGGAGUAAGCUUUCCAGAGCAUACCAGCUCCAGCGAAGAGGUGGGGCCCGGGGAAGAGCUUCCCUGUGCGGAACCACGUAUUUAUUGCCCCUCCCACUGCCUCGAACACUCCGAAUCCCAGCAGUAUCGACCCUGCAUUAUAGUGCCGAUCCCUGUACGAUCCCUUCAGCAGCUCCUUCCUCUCCUGUUCAAAUCCCAACACCAAAAAUUUCACAUCUAAAUUCUAAUUUCUGCACUCCCAUGAAAAAUAAUAAUUGAAACAAACACGGAGAUAAUUAUGAAAUUGUGCUAUGGCAGUAAUUGUUGCUACUCAAAGAACAGUUUUAACAUCGUUACUCAUUUACAUGUUUAAAAGAUCUGACAAAAUAUACAACACAAACUGACGGAAGAGGCAAAAGAAACUACAAAUAGAACAACACUAAGAAAUUUAUGUUAUUAUAUGAUGAAUGUAAAUGAAUCAAAGCCUCGUGAAACAGAGUCGUAGGGCCGAUUCCGAUGCUAUAAUACAAAAAGAUAGAUAUAUGAAGUAGAAUACGACAAAAUGGUUCGGGAAUAAUCAGAAAACUGAUUUUGGCUCCGAUACCAUAUUACCAAAAACAUCUGUUGAAAUUGGGGAGCUAAGGACUAGUUGAAAUCUUAUAGGAUACGGUUCGGGAAUAGUCCGGGGUCACCUCGGUGAGCUUCUGAAUCUUGGCUUCGACCGGGGAGACCUCCGCAGGGGGCGGCGGCGACGCAUCGGAAGCAGCGGCGCCAGCGGGAACUGCGGCGGCGGCGGGGGCCGGGGAUUUGACCUGCUGCUUCUUGAGCUGGUUGAUCUCGUCCUGGAUGGUGCGGACGCGGCGCCACUGCCACCCCAAGUACCCCGCCCACAGCGUGUAGAAGAAGAGCCCGCUCAUCACCAACGGGUGCACCAGCGCCAGCGUGCGCCCCUCCAAGAUCCCGAACUCCCCUCCCACCGCCAUCGCGUCCUUCAUCGACCCCAUCCCCAAAUUAAUUUCUAGGGUUUCGUUACACACGCGGUACGAGAUCAAAGAUGAUGAGGAGAGGAGUACGUGCCUGGGGAUUGACGAAGAGGGGCAAUGAGAACGCCGCGGCGGCGGCGGAUGCUGCUGCGGCGGAGGGUAGGGGGAGGGAUUCGGAGAGCGAUCGGAGAGCGACGGAGAGGUGGAAAUGGAGAUCGAGCGACGACGACGACGACGACGACGACGACGACGAUGGGGUUUUGGAGAGCUUAGAGGAGAUAGGGAUGGGAUUGGGGAGGAGAUUGAGAAGCCCCAUCGUUGCGGCGGUGCUCGCCAUUGUUGCUCCCUCUCAAAGUUUCAGAGAGAGAGAGAGAGAGAGAGAGAGAGAGAGCGUGUGUGUGUUCGUGUGAUUUUGGAGGGAAAGAGGAGAUAAGAGACGAGGGGACGAGAAAAGGAGAUGGUACGGAGAAAAUGAAUGGCGGAGUAUGCGGACGCGUGGGGCUACGAGAUUAGCCGUUGGAUUCGUGCUACAGUGGCAUUUGGGUAAUUAAAGAACGGUGGAUGGUGGAGGAACGAUGGGUCCGCAUGCGACUCCGCAUGGAGGAUUUCGGAAGAGGAAGCGUCUUGAAGCUUCUGGUGAGCACACGCACGCACGUAAUACAAAUUGCACCCCUAGUCCCUAACCUUUCAGCAAGUUUUAUUUUGGUAUACAAACAUUUAAGUUGACCAGUAGUUGUCUCUAAAUUUACAAUUAAAAAAAAAAUUACUUAUACACCUCUGAAGUGUAAAUAUUAUAUUUCUUAUCUUAGAAUCUACAAAAAAAAAAAAAAAAAAAAAAAAAAAAAGCCGAAAUAGAUUUUAGUGAAAUAAAAAAAUGAUGUGAUAAGUAAAAAAAUAAUAGCUUUUAGAUAGAAUGAGUGCAAAAUAUACACUCCCGUAGCAUUGCUCAUAAAAAAAAAAAUAAUGAAUACAUCCAAAAAUUAGUGUAUAUUUUCCAUUCGAUUUAUCCAAUAGAUGAGAUAUUUUUAUUAAUCACAUUAAAUAACUAGUAAGAUGUAUAUCUUUCAAUCACUUAUUGGAUGUGUGGUGUGUAGUUAAUCUUAAAAAUUUCAGAAACACUACUGAUACGCAAAAAAGGAUAUAAAUCUUACGAUCUUUUAUUCCGAGAUCCAUAUCGGUUAAAAAAAAAAAAAAGGUUCAAGUUUGUAUUGACAAAUCUUACACUCUUUUAUCCAUCGGUCUAUAUUGAUGGAGAAAAAAAAAUUGAGCAAUACUACAUACUAGGGGCGGAAACGAGCAAGCUCGAGCGAGCUUAUGAACCUGUUUGGCCUAAUUUCUGAAAAAGUGAUUUCUGAAAAUAUGAUUUUGAUUUAGAGAAUUGAUUUUGCUUAAAAGCUGUAGAGCGUUUCGCCGAAAUAGAUAAAAGUGNUUAGACUUAACUUUGGGUUUUAGGCUUUGUUUUUUGUUUUAGUUUUAGUAUAUUUUAGUAUGAUAUAUAUUUCUUGUUAAAACAUAUAAAAAUUAUUAAUUAUAUAUAAUUAUUAAAUUAAAUUAUAAAUUAUAUAAUUUAUCAGUUUUUAAUAGUACUUUAUAGAUAAUCAUAAAGAUGAUAACUAUUCUCUAUUUACCAUUUUUACUAUAAAAUUUUUAAAUUGAGGCAAAGUCUACCGGAAUGGGCUGGAAUUGAUCACCUUCUGUAAAUACUAUUAUAAACUGUAUAACUUCCCGUAAGUGUUAUAAUAUUUAAAAUUUUUCUAUAACUAUUUUAACUACCAGCGAUCUUCUUGUAGAUAUUUUAAUAAGGAUUAAAAUUGAUGUCCGCGUACGUGGUUUUGUCGACGUUCGAGAGGUUGACGCACCAGCAUUGUAGAUGUCCGUAUGUACGUCAGGGACGUUCAAGAAUAGGUCCGCCUCGGGAAGGUACGUAAUUGACCCUCCUUACUCAGGUUGUAGUUAUAUAUCAAGGGUAGAGGGAGAGGGAGAGGGAGAAGGAGAGGCAGCGGAACAAGUCACCGUACCGUGGAGCUAGGCGAAAGUGGAGUACUUACCCGUCUACAAACACACAAGAUCGAUCGUCGGGAAGAGCGGGCACUCGCAACGCGACAACCGUGCUUGGCUGCCAAACACGGUUGACGUACGUCACAUGACGAACGAACAAACGCUGUUUAGUUCAUUCGUUCCUUCCUGUAAACAGAACUACGUCGUUAUAUAUAUUGACAAAGUAGAAUCGGCAAUUGGAUCUAGUCAUUAAUAACCAACGUGGAUAAAGUAGAUAAAUAAACAUGAAAAAUUUAAAUAGUAAUAAAAUAAGUAGAGCGCGAAAAUUAAGUCUACAGUUUGAAAGCAUAUUUCGUUUAAUUUUAACAAUGAGUUGUUUAUCAUCCUUGUUUUAUAUGCAACUUUUUUUUUUAUAUCGAGUCUACUUUUUCUCGAACCACCGUUUUUUUGAACCACCAACUAUAGAUUCCAGGGUUUAAGCUUAGGAUUAAUUAAGUGUAAAGGUCGAUUCAAAUAAAGAUUUAUUUAAUUUGCUUUGUCCAUCAUGCGAUGGAUAGAUAAUUUUAUAUAUAUAUAUAUUGAUUUGGAUAUGGACUAAAAUUAUAACUGAAUUUAAAUAUAAUGGGAUUUCAUUUUUUAACCUAUAACUGAAACUACCCCUACUGAGCUUUGAUUAAGCUCACUCCAUUUAAAAUCGAGUCCUGAUAAAAUUGUGUAGCUAUAUCAAUUCACAUUUCUAAUUAGUAAAAGUAAUUUUAAAGUAAAUGAUAGAUUUAAUUUUUUUCUCAUUUAAUCAAAAAUAAAUCACAUAAUUAUAUGCAUGCAUUUUUUUGGCGAUUGAAAAAAAGGGAGUUUUGUUCAAAAUCUAAAAUAUAUUAUAUUUUAGUUUUUUAAUGCAUUUAGGGGAUGUUUGGUUGUAUGUAAUUACAACUGUACGGUAGUUGUAACUAAAUGAAAAUGCAAAUUCGCGUUUGGUUUGAUUUAUUUAACUCCAACUAUUGCAGCUAGCAGGAAUUGCAGGAGGAUGUCCAACUGCAGCAGUUGGAAUUACACCUAAAUUGACCGCAGUUCUAAUGGUAGCAGUUGGAGAGAGUAACUUUAAACAAAUAAUAAACUUACCUCAAUUAUUUUUUAACUAAAAAAUAACUUUUUUUUACAUUGAAGGUAAUUUCACCAUCAUAUAUAUAUAACGAUAAAAUUUUAAAAAUUAUUUCUCAGCUGCAUUCAACCAAACAAAUUAUUUGUAGUUGCAGCGCUUUCAACUACAUCCAACCAAACAGAAUGUAUGUAGUUCCACAAAUUGCAAUUGCUGCAUUUUCAAUUGCAUGCGUUUUCAAUUACACUGCAUUUUUAAUUAUAUCUAACCAAACAGCCCCUUAAUGCAAAUAAAAUUAUUGAGAAUAAUUUUGGUUAAAAUUUUUUUAAAACUUACAAGAUUAAAGAGAGAUCGGAAAAAUUCUCAACUUUUAUUUUUAUUUAAAUUUUUAUAGGUAGUUACUUAUUUGCUAAAAAAUAAAUAAAGCCACUAGAUUUGGUAAAAUCAUAAAAAAAAAACUUGAUAAAAUUUUUAUUUUUCAUACACUAAAAUUAGUUAAUUUUUUAAAAACCUAAAGGAUAAUGGGUGUUAAAAGAGUAAAAAUUGAGGGAUCCAGUUUCGAAACCAUAUAGUUGAGGGUGUCUCCAUACAUUUUGACUUAAGAGAUAGUUAAGGGUAAAUAAGUUAUUGUAAAAAUUAACCCAUCUUUAAUUAUUUAAUAACUAUGAUAAAAUUAGCACCACUAACGACAGGGAUAUUAAUUAUAAUUUUCUGUAUUUAUUGGAGCAUAUGAAUGUAAUAUUCUAAAUUUUAGAAGAGUAUAUAUAUAUAUGAUAUUGUAGACUUCUAUAGAAGUAUUUAUAAAAUUGCACCUUAAAAUUGUAUUAGGUGACUAUGUUGCUGCAUAUGACGUGGGUAUCUCGACUGCGAUUCCAAAAAUAAUUGUGACAGGAAAAAAAAAUUUUGUAUUUGACAUGAUAUACAUCCUCCCCUAAUAUAUAUAUUAGAUGAUUAGAAUACGAAGGUGGUCUCUUUGCGAAACGGAUUGUCAAUAAAAGAAUAAUUAAUUUAUGAGGCAACACAACAGUGAUUUGAUGGAUUUUUCAUUGGCUAAUUAUUGUUUCCGCCUGACAAAAAAAACAAAGAAGAGAGAAAUGGCCGAACCGGAGGAGGGAUUCUACACUGUCACACUUGCACCACGUCAUCAAUAACAAGUCAAUCAUAUUUCUUCUUUUCAAAUAAAAGUACAAUAAAAAUACUUUUUUACAAUCAUGAUGUGACAUAUAUUUUUAAAAAGAUUAAUUUAAAACAUCAGAGGCAGGCACGUCUUCCCGUAAACAUCUCGUCACGUUUUAAAUCUCAAUCACUCGCUUUCGUUCAUUUAAAACCACAUGUAAUCAGAGUGCGAAAAGUAUAUCACCAUCAGUCCAUCACCAUCAUCAUUAUUAAGCUCCGCCUAUAAUUGAGAAGUUUCUCGCCGAAUUCCAAUCUAGUAUUCCACCGACCGUCGCUAGCGCAAAUGACAAAAAAUUUAAUGAUUGAUAUCCGACACCCAAAUUUAAAUUCUAGUUGAUUUACAUUUCUAACUAAAUUUAUUUCGAAAUGAAAUAAUCGAAGCGGAUAGUAUGCUAUUUAUCUCUCAAAAAAAAAAAAAAAAAGUGUAUUCCACGGGUGUUGCUAAUCUAAAACAUUGUUUGGUUUGAAAAUGAAAAAAGAAGGAAAAAGAAUAAGAGCCUUAUCUCAUCCUUGGUUUUUCCAAUUUUUCUAAAAUAAUUCGUUUAAGAGGAUAGAAUUAUUAUUCCACUCUUUUUUAGAACAAUAAUCUAUUUUCUGCAUAUAUACCUCUACUAAUUUAAUAAUAAAAUAUUAAAAAUUAAUAUAUUAUAUAUAAUUUUAUUAAUUAAUUAGUUAGAUAAAUAAUUAAUCACUUGAUUUAUUACAAUAAUAAAUAUGUAAUUAACUAUUUGAACGAUUAAUCUAUUAUUUAUAACUAAUUAGCUAAUUAAAAAAUUAUUAUUUAGUGUGUUUACAUUGAUUAACUAAUUAAUUAACUAAUAUUUAUAUUGAUUAACCAAUUAAUAUUUUGACAAAUAUAACUAAUUAAAUAAUUAAGUAAUUAGUUUAUUAAUUUAUUAACUUAAUUUGUUAGUUUAUAAAAUUAUUUCUAGUUAGUUAAUUUAUAAAUUAACAGUACUCAUUGUGAUAUACUGGAUCUUAGUAAAUAGGCAAAUUUACGGUAUGAAUUUUUAGUCAGUAUUUUUCUAUAGUGCUUGAUUGAGUUAGAGACAUUUUGACGCGAAAUAAACGCAAAAACGAACUCAGAAAUUCAAAAUUUAACUUGUGGAAACUAAAAUUGAAAUACUUGAAAGGUGAGGGACCUUUGAUAAUUGUGCAAUUUUAGUGGAGUCCACCCAAGCAUUCUUAUCUAUUUAUGUUCGUAUCUCUUUCACUAUGAAGCUUCAAAAGAGAGAGAGAGAGGAAAAAAAAAAAAAAAGAGAAAGAAAGCAAGCUUUGGUUCUUUUCUGCAAUGAGCGAUCCGCGUGCGCAUGCAUUUUUUUAGAUUGCGUUUGGUUGGAGAACUAAAUUUUAGAAAAUAAUUUUUAUUAUUUUUGAGAAUAAAAAAUAUUUCGGUAUAAGAUAGAAUAAUUAUAAAUUUAUGUUUGAAUGUAUUCGGAAAUAUUCGCGUUUGGUUUGCACUAUAAAAGAUUACUAGGAGUAAAAAGAUAUCCGAGAAUAGGAAGAUAUCCGAGAAUCUUAUUCCUAUUCAUCCUAAUGUAAUAUUUCGGUGUUUGGUUUGUACAUUCAUAAUAUUUUAUCGUAUUAUUUAAGAUUAGAAUAAUAUACAAUUAAUUAAUUAAUUAAUAUAAUUAAUUUUAAAUAAUAUUAUAAAAAAAUUUUAACAUUUUUUUAGAAAAAGGAGAGAGAGAAUAUAGGUAGAAAGAGAGAGCAUAAUUAAAAAAAUAAAAAGAGAAAUAGAAUCAAGGUUAGAGAGAAUGAGAUAUGGUUGAGAUUUUAGAAAAAAAGAGAGAGAAAUAGCUUAAUUUAGAGAGAGAAAAAGAGUUUUUUUUUUGAGAGAGAUAGAUAGCACGCUACCCGCUUCGUCUAUUUCAUUUGGAAAUAAACUUAGCUGAAAAUAUGAAUCAACUAGAAUUCGAACUUGGGUCUCAGGUACCAACCACCAAGCCCUUUGCCACUUGCUUUAGAGACAGUUGGUGAGAGAGAAAAAGAGUUGAAGUUUAGAAAAAAAAAAGGAUAAGUUUAGAGAGAGAUAUGAGAUUAGAGUGUAAAGAAAAAUAAUACCAACUAGUUGGCAGGGGAAGAAAAAAAGAGAUUAGACAUAUUAUAAUUACUCCAAUCUAUUAAUAUAAAUAUACCCACCCUCUCUCAAGGGAAUGAGAUUAGUACUUUGGGAUGCAUCUCAUUCCCAAGUAAAUCUAGUAUUACCAACUAGAUUACUUAGUGCGUUUAGCCAAACACCGUCAUAUUUUUUUAUUCUUACUGGAUUAUUAGGAAUCUUAAAAAGAUAGCGCGAACCAAACGCACCCUUAAAGAUAUUCUUGGUAGGGUUUGGAUAAAAAGUGUAGAACAAUAUCUAAAUAUAUUUUUUUUAAAAAAAUAAUUAAUUUAUAUUAGUAUAUUUUAUAUAAAAUUAUUUAUAAAAUUAUUUCUUAUUUCUUAUAGUAAUAUAUAAUAUAAUAUUUUAUGUAACAAUGUAAUUUCAAAUAGUAUAUUUAUUUUAUUAUAUAUAAUAAUAAUUUAUUUUAUAUAAUUUAUUCAAAAUAUAUGUAACGAAAUCCUUAUAAUUUUAAUUAAUAAUAGUAUAAAUUUCAAUACAAAUUAAAAAAUAUAUAUAAUGCAUGAAAAAAAAUUAUAUAUAUAAUACUUAAUAUAAAAUAAAAUAAUUAAAUAUUGAUAUAUAAAUAAUAAAACUUAAUAAAAUAACUAAUAUAUCAAAUUUAAUUAAUUUAUAUUAUAUAAUAAAAUUUAAGUAUAAAUAUAUUAUCAUAAAAAUAAUAUUUAUAUAAAUAUAUUUAUUUAUAUAUCUAUUUAUCUAAUAAAAUAAAGAGGAGAACAAAGUUGUUCUCAAUUCUCCUUGGAACAAUUUUUAACGGGUUGUUUUAGAACAACUCAGAACAAUCCGUUUUGACCGGAACAAUCUGUUCCUCAUGUUCCUCUACUGUUUGGUUACAACUUUGGGAUAUUUCGUGUUGUUCCGGGAUAUCCUCGGUACCAAACACAGCAUAAUCAUGCAUGUUUAUAUUAUCCCUAAUCAUGCAUGUUCAUAAUUUAUUUUUGGUUCAAAAAGGGUGCCAAUCAAUUACUAUAGUAAAAAUUUGCACUAUAACAAAAAUAAAUUUUAGUUACACUUUUUUAAAGCUUUACCAUUUUUUUAUGGUUCUUAUCCUAUCGUAAACUUAUAACGUAAUUAAACAGAGAUCUAAUUUUACUGUAGUAAGCAAAGUUUCAAUAAUGGAGAUUUGACAUCACGUGUAGUGGGGUAUGAAAUUAAAUGUAAAUAAUAGCAGUUCCAUUUGACAAAAAUAGUACCCAACUAUUGUCAUUUGCAGCGAGGGAAAUUAAUUUAUACUUCUUUUGCUCGGUAAAAAGAUAACAUGACUCUACUGCACGUGAAAUGAUCUAUCCUUUUCCAAAAUUGAUCACUCGUGCAAAAUGUUUUAAUAUUUUUGUCGACUGAAACAUCACAUCUUGUUGGAAAAAUACUAAGAAAGAACCAAAAUGGAUUAUGGAAAUAAGGACCAGAAACCCAUAAUUUCAAAUUUGUGGUGCAUAGCAUCUGUGAAGUCAUGUAAAGAAUAUAUACUUUGUGGAUAUGCUUUGUCAUAAUUUUGUUUUAAAUGGUACGACUUUUGUAUUCUUAUGGGAAAACUUCAAAAUCUUCCGUGUUUCGUUUUUUUUCUUUUUACUAUCUUAUGAUUUAAAGUGUAAUAAGUUAGUACCCUGUGAUUUUAUUUUUCUCUUAAUGAAAUAUUAUAUAUAUAUAUAUAUAGAAAAAGAGAGAGAGAGAGAGAGAGAGAGAGAGAGAGAGUUGAGCUAGAAAACUCCCAAAAGCAUCAUCAAUGUGGUGUUUUUGAAUUUUUAACCAUUAGAUGGAGAGAUGUAGGGUUGAAAUGAUGGUGCUAGGUAGAAUAGUGUUUGAUAAAAAAACUAUUAGUAAUUAAGAAGCAGAUCUAAGGACUAGAAACUUAGAAGUACCAAGAUGUUGGUCCUUCUAAAAGUAUUCUAGCUCAAUUCUAUAUAUAUUAAUUAAUAUUUAUGAUUAUUUAAUAGCCUUCAUGGUUAAUUAAUUAAUUUGUUAAAUUAUUAUUUAAUUAGUAUUUUGAUAUUAAUUAAUUAUAUAAAAUAUUAUUAUUUAAAACUAUAAUUACUCUUAUUUCAAUUAUUCCUAUCUAACUAUCUAAAUAUUAUUUUUUUAUUCUCGAAAAUAAUCUAAUUUUCAUUUAAAUAUAAAAUUGAUCCUAUUCCCGCUUAUUCCCAAAGUUGUGCAUAUCUCAAGAAUAACUAAAAGAACUUAUUCUCAUACCAAACGAUACCUAAGAGGUAGGAAAUUCAAUCUCCUGCCAAUGCAAUUUGAUUCACUGCCAGUGCAAUUAUAAAAUAGGGACAAACUUAUAUUUAUAAAAUAUCAGUUUCUAUACUUUUAAAACCACGAAGUUAUUAGUGUUUAUAGGUUUUCAACCAAGAUUUAUAGGAUUAAAAAUAGUAAUCCACUAGGAUUGAAUGGGUGGUUGAUGGAAUAGCAAAAUCUAAGGAGUGAAAUUGGUCAAAAAAAUAGAUUUAACGUUAGAAAACUUAUAAGCACUUGGUGCAUGAUACUUGUAAACAGGGGCGGAGCUAUAGAGGGGCCCACAAUGGCCAUGGCCCUCUCUAAAUUUUUUAAAAUUACAUAAAAGUCCUGUAUAAUAAAAAUUAAAAUAUUAUAAAUUUUAAAUUUAGGAGGCCAAAUUAAUUUUUUAAUAAAAUUUAUGUCUUAAUUUUUUUUUCAAAUUUUUUGGUUCUUUCCCUUCAACUCUUACCGUCUUGUUUCUCUUUGAGCAUAUUAUCGUUAUUGUUACUAGUAAUAACUGCUCAGUGAAUCUGACAAUUUUAUUUUUUCUUAUUAUUCUAGAUAAAAUUUUUUCCUAUCAAAUUUAAAUUUUGGCCCUUCCGAAUCUUAAUUUCUGGCUUCGUCCCUGCUUGUAAAAACACUAUGGAGCCGUUUGGUUGGAUAUAGUUGUAAAUGCAGUGUAGUUAAAAAUACAUGCAGUUGAAAAUGCAGCAGUUGUAAUUACAUAUAGUUUGUUUGAAUUUGUGUAAAUGCAACUGUUGCAGUUGCAUUUCUUCUAUUUAGUAAUUUGAAGCUGAUAGUUGUAUUUGCGAAUCUUAUCAUCUCUUUAGAUAGAAUGGUGAGAUUACCUUCACUAUACAUAAAAUAAUUAUAUAAUUUUAUUAAUCAUUUAAAUUUACUAUUUAUAAAUAGUAAAUAAGUGAAUAUAUAUAAUAUUUUUAUAUUUUUCAAUAAUUCUUCAACUUAUCAAUCGACACAUUUAAAAUUUUUAAUUUAUUUAAUUUUAAUAUGUAAAUCAAACUUUAAAAAUUUAAUCGAUUCUCUCAUUGUUUUAUCAAAUUUAAUAAUUAUAAUUAAAUAAAACUUGUUAAGUUGACAUACACAAUCAUAUUCUAUGAAAAUUUAGAAAAACAAAUAUUUUUUAUAUUUUGAAUUAAAUAAAUUUAAAAAAUUUAUUUUUUUGCACGAAACUUGUAUCGCCUAAAAAAUGUGAUUAGCUAGUAUGAGUUUAUUUACAAGUCUUUUUAUUUAUCUAUAUAUANUAUAUAUAUAUAUAUAUAUAUAUAUAUAUAUAUAUAUUAUUUAUUUAUUAUUGUUAAUUUGUGGGUGAUUCUAUUUCUCACCAGCUGCUGCAGUUAGAACUGCAGCAAAUUUGGAUAUAGUUCCAACUACAAUAUUUGAAUCUUCUUGUGCAGUUGCAAUUGCAGCAGUUGGACUCAACUGCAUUAAACCAAAUACAGAAAUUGAGGUUGCAUGCAGUUGUAAUUGCAGUGCAGUUGUAAAUACGUGCAACCAAACAGCCCCUAUAUUGGACUAUAUAUAUAUAUUUGUGAACAUACAGGCUUUAUGGCUUGGAAAUACUGGCGGGCUAAAAAAAAAAGACAGAAAAGAAAAUAACAAUUAUCAUUGUCAACUUGUGCAAAUUUUUCCAUGAGGAGAAGGUACAACAUGAGGAGAGAGAGAGAGAGAGAGAGAGAGAGAGAGAGCGAGAGAGAGUGUGGUGUGGAGUGUGUUAUACGAUGUUUUCAAGUGAUAGUGAGCAAAUGAAACUCUCAUUCUUUCUAUUCAUAAAAUUCGGGAAUAAAUACUUAGGAAUUGCUAUUAUAGUGUGGAUUCUAUCUAAAAAUUAUAAAACUUGAAUUUUAGAUAUAUACUUCAAAUAGCGCAAAUCAUGUUUAAAAAUCAUGAACUUUUUUUUUUUUUUUGGUGAUAUGUUAUGGUUAGAAGGUUAUCUUCGCAUCGGGAUAUUAGGUACGAAAUUAGCUCUGCAAGCAGUGUUUUCCUUGUGAAAACAUUAUGUAAUCCCAUUUUAUGAUUAAUUGACCGCGAACUGAAGCAUCCAUAGAUGCCCUGAAUGGUAAACAUUGUCAACAAGGAAUCAUGAAAAUGUCCAACAUAUAGAAGAGUAUUUGGGCUAGCUAUUUAACCAAGCUGCAUCAAUCCGAAUGCGAUGAUUUUAUACCGGGUUCGGGUUUAGAUCAAUUUCGACUCGAAUUUAAAUAAGACGGGCUGGAAAAUUAAAACAAUAAAUUUCGUCUAGCCCGAGUCAGGGCCAAAUUUGCAUAUAUCAGCAAUCGUGCACAACUAAUCCAUCAACUCGUUAGAUCUGAACAUACUAAGCCCAAACCCAUCCGAUCCAAUAAGCCCAACUUGCCAAGCUCGGUCCAAACUCAAAGCUCGGCGUGGUCGGAUUCGAACCUCCUCUUUUAAUCAUUUAAAAUAACCCUGAUUCUCCGAAAUCUUUUUUUUUUUUUUUUUAAGAGAGAUAGGUAGCACGCUACCUGCUACGUUUAUUUCAUUUAGAAAUAAACUUAGCUAGAAAUGUGAAUCAAUUAGGAUUCGAACUUGAGUCUCGGAUACCAACUACCAAGUCCUUUGCCACUUGCUCUAGGGACGGUCGGUGAUUCUCCGAAAUCUUAAGCUGCUGAAGAAUGUUAUUUUAUAUUAUAUAUUCAACGUACUAUAUACUACAUGGCGUGACGGAGAUCAAAUUUCAUCAUCUAAUCAUAGCUUAAAAAUCUAAUCGAUGCAUCUUAGUCUAUACCUUAAUGAACAUUUAGAAAAUUCAUUUGUCAAUGGCUAUGAGAGGUCCAAAAUUUGAAUUUAAAUAACAAUAUCUACUUAAAUAUACUCCUAUUUAAAUAUACUCAAUUAAACAACAUAUAUAAUUGGAAAAUUCUGAAAAUACUGUGCACUAUAAGUGUCCUUUCAUAUGAUGUGAUCUUAGUUAUAUAUAUUUACUAUUUAAACAUGCCAUUGAAUUAAAUUCAAGGGAAACUCUGUGAAUUUCCUUGAAGUGUAAACUAAACCAAAUUUUCAGGAACCUUUCCUUAUCAAAGUACUCUUCAAACAAAUAAAAAAAAAAAAGGAAAAAAAGAAAAAGAAGUCAUUUUCCUCUCUUUUUUAAUGUCAGGUAAAAUAGGAACCACAAAUGCCACGUGUAAGGAACCCAUUUGUUGAACCCUUUUUAGCAAUAAGUCGCAGUUACAGCAUUAAAUCCUCAUCAACAAGUCAGAGGCUUACAUAUGAAUUUGUCACGGAUAUUAGGGAGGGGUGACAAAGAAAUCUCAAUAAGAAAUGGACCAUGGUGUUUUCAUUUUUGUUUUGUUUUGCAAUGUAAAACCUACAGGCAAAUUCAUUGAUUCUAAAAGUCGUAAGUUACAUAGAAAAUGCAUACAUAAACAUGAUAGAGUAUGAAAGUACAAGUUUAAUACGUUCAAUGACAUAACAGGUAUCCUAUGUCCAAACUUUUCGAUUCAAUUCCCAAAAGAGAUGUGUACAUUAGUUACUGUCAUCGGUUGUAGACUAGUGGUGUUUGUUGUAAAAUUAUAUAAAAUAAUAAUUAUUAUUUUUUCAAAAUCUUAAGGUGGUAUUUGUUGGGAGUCUAGCGUUACUCGAAUUCAGAAUAUUCUGCUUUAAUAUCAUAUUAAACUAGUAAAAUUAUCAGCGCAUUGCAAUGAGCUAAUACUAUAAAAAAGACAAAAAAUUGAUAAAGUAAUAAUUUUAAAAUUUUUUGAAUUGCAUGAAACAUCAAUAAGUACAAAUAGUAUAAAAAAAUAUAAAGAGAUUUUAUUUUACUUAUUGUUUUUUGUGAAUGCGAUGUAACGCCCCCAAUGGUCCCACAUCGGAUGGGAUAUUGAUUCCGAUCAGUUUAUAUGAGAUCUACACGCUAGUAAUAAUAACUGGGCUUAAGCAUUUUGGGCGGAUGGUUUGGACCCAACGAGUUAUUGUUGCUAGCGGGUCGGGUCGUUGUAUGCGAUUUGUUCAGAUGACAAUAUUCUAUAUGAAUAAAUUAAUUAGAAAGUGAGUGGGUGAAAACAUAAAACAUCAGUUGGAGAUUAGAAGUGGAAAGGUGAAGCACCAAGAAGUGAAAAUUUAUACAUCCCGAAGUACAGUUGCUAUACCGCAACUCUGUUCAAAUGUUGGUUGUAAGGUCGGAGAUUCAAGCCUUUGAAUAAAAUUAGAUUUGUUGCUCGUACUCCGUAUCUAUGAAAAUGAUUAAAAAUAAAAAACAUCAGCUAUAUGUAAUGAUGAUUUUGGAAAUACUUAGCAAUUUUCAUUUCUGGUGAAUAUUGUUAUAGAUUCAAACUAUCAAAAUAUUGUCUUAAUGAACUGCUUACAUAUUAAUGUCAAUUCUAAACUAAUUUCAUCACGCAUUUAUGUUGGAUUAUGAAAAUUUGCUGCUUAUGCAGAAUCUAGUUUGGUAAUAUUAUGGUAAACAAUAUUUAUUUUAUAGAAAGGUUCAAAAAUUUUAAAUUGCUCCUAAUUUUCUUUUAUACUAUAAAAAUUACAGCGAUAAUCACCACCGAAAAAAUAUGUGCUUGACGGUUGUCGAAAAUACUUUAAUAUUUUUGGACUUUCUAAAAUACAAAAUAAGUACUUUUGGUUAUCAUAUUAUCAAACUAGGCCUUAAUCUAAAUUGUAUUUGUAAUUUUAACUUUUAUCAAUGAGAUAUUAUUUUUUAGAAUUGAAAGUAAAGAUAAAAUAAGUUAAAUUAGGUCGGCACCUCCUUUUGUAGAAAACUCUAGGCAAUAAUAAUAAUUAAUUAAAGAGUGGUGAAAUAGAGUAGUGUGGACACUAAACUACCCGAUUUUUUUAAUUAAUACCUUUUACUUUUAAUUGUAUUCAUUUACUUUAUCUUUCGAUUAAAUAUAAAACAUAUUAUAAUCAAUAAUUCUCUUACUUAUAGGGGCUGUUUGGUUGGAUGUAGUUACAGAAACAGUGUAGUUGGAAAUACAUGCAGUUGCAAAUGCUGCAGUUGUAACUAUACCUAGUCUGUUUGGUUUUACGCAGUUGCAACUGCUGGAGUUACAUUUCUUCUGUUUGGUAAUAUGAAGCUGAUAGUUGUAUUUGUGAAUUUUGUCACCUUUUCAGAUAGAGUGGUGAGAUUACCUUCACUAAACAUAAAAUAAUUGUAUAAGUUUAUUAAUCAUUUAAAUUUACUAUUUAUAAAUAAAUUAGUAGAUAUAUAUAAUAUUCUUCAACUUAUUAAUCGACAUAUUUAAAAUUUUUAAUUUAUUUAAUUUUAAUAUGUAAAUCAAACUUUAAAAUUUAAACGAUUCUCUCAUUUUUUUUAUCAAAUUUAAUAAUUAUAAUUAAUUAAAACUUAUUAAAUUAACAUACACGAUCACAUUCUAUAAAAUUUUUUUAAAAAAACUAUAUUUAUAUUUUAAAUAAAAUAAAUUUAAAAAAUUUAAUUUUUUGCACAAAGCUUGUAUUGUCUAAAAAAUUUUAUUAGUAUGAGUUUAUUUACAAGUAUUUUUAUUUACCUAUAUACAUAUAUUAUUUAUUUAUGUAGCUAUUUAUUUAUUUAUUUAUUAUUGUUAAUUUGUGGGUGAUCCUAUUCCUCAUCAACUGCUGCAGUUGGAACUACGGCCAAUUUGGAUGUAGUUCCAACUGCAGCAUUUGGACCUUCUUGUGUAGUUGGAACUACAGCAGUUGAACUCAAUUACACUAAACCAAACAAAGGAAUUGAAACUGCACGCAUUUGCAACUGCAUGCAGUUGCAAAUGCGUGCAACCAAAAAGCCCCAUAUAGCAGUCACUAUUUGUAUGACGAGAACUACUAUUAACCGAAAAGUAUUCAAAAUUGGUAAUUAAAAGAAAAAAAAAACAUUAGUUAAAUGAUCAAUAGUUAAAAGGGCCCCUACAUUAAUUUUUACCUAAAAUAUCAAGACCAAAUCAACGACAAGUUAGUUGAUUGGUUGCGAAUUUUUAUAAUCGUCACGCUAACUUAGCAUCUUACAAAAAAGGUAAAAAUAUUAUACUUACAAAUAAAUUUUAUAAUAUUUUAUAAAUUAAUAACGUGGCAAUAUUUAAUUGAUAAAGAAUUAAAAAAUAAAAAAAUAAAUAUAAUUUAUAAUUUUAAAGUUACGACCAUUCAUUAAAUUAAAAAAUUUAUAAAAUAAUAUAAGAUUUAUUUACAAACGUAGCAUUUUUCUUAUAAAAACCCACCACUGAUCAGCAUUGCCCAAAGGGGUAAUAAUGGGUUAAAGCUUAAUUUUCUUUAAUAUAUAUAGAGUCAGUUUUUUUAGGUUCCCAAAGAUAAGGGGACCAAAAUAUCCAGCGAGAUUAUUGACAAGGACAAUAGUGACUGUGUCUUUGUCUACAUUCUCAGAUAUUAAGAUUGAGCUGUUUAGGGAGGAGAUAGGAGUUGCCUAAAAUGGAAGAAAAGCCGGUUGCUUAUGAUGGACAUGAAGGACACGCAGCACCGUUUGUGGUAAAAACGUACCAAAUGGUGAACGAUCCGAGGACGGACGUGCUCAUAAGGUGGGGGAUGAGGAACAACAGCUUCCUCGUGCUCAACCCCGCCGAGUUCUCGCAGUUCCUCCUCCCUUGCUACUUCAAGCACAACAACUUCUCCAGCUUCGUGCGGCAACUCAAUACCUAUGUAUUUACUUCUCCGUUUACUAUCUUAUCGUUUGUUCAGAUGAAGUACACACUAUCUUGUGAUUUGUUUUUUCUUUAUUGAAGUGCAUGCAUGGUCUUUUCAAAUGCAUCAUUGUUUGUGUGAUUUUUAAAGCAUUGUAGAAUAAAAUCCAAUAUUAGAAAAAGAUUGUCCACUAUUUCAUCAGUUUGAGAGAAAAAUAUGCAUUACACUAGAUUGCUAUAUACGAUAGAGGUUUUAUGUGUGGCGCCGCAGUUUGUUAGUAGCAGAACUCAAAUUUUUUUACCUCAUCUGUGGUACUCUUCUCUACUUGGUUUAGGGUUUUCGCAAGGUGGAUCCGGAUAGAUGGGAGUUCGCGCACGAGUCAUUCCUUCGAGGCCAAACCCAUUUGCUCCCCUUAAUUCUUCGGCGAAAGAAGAAGAAGAGCCUUUCGAAUGAACAAUCGAGCAGCAAUAGCCGUGCGAAGGAUAGUGUGGUAGACGAAGAUGAGGAUGAGGAUGUGUUAGUGAAAGAGGUAACGAGGCUAAGACAAGAACAACGACUACUCGAAGAAGAGCUUCAGGGGAUGAACAAGAGAAUACAGGCGACAGAGAGGCGGCCGCAGCAAAUGAUGUUGUUCCUCGCUAAGGCUGCAGAUGAGCCCGAAUCGCUCUCUCGUCUUAUACUAUCCAAGAAGCAGCAAUUCGCGGCUGAGAAGAGGCGCCGCCUCGUAAACUCUCCUAUUACGUCUACUUCUACUACUACGGCUCCGCUCACUUUAACUGGUCCAUUAAUGGAGCUCGGAUUUAAUGAAGAGGUGAUUACUACACACAGUGUCGACGAGGAGAAGAAGCCAUUGUACACAGUUUCCAGUAGCGUUGCAGGGAUCGAGCCAAGUGGUUGGACCGAGUUCGGACUAGAACCUGAACCAAAGUCGGCGUCAGCGACAGAUUCGGUGCCGUUUCCUUUCUCUUUACUAGGACGCGGGUUCUUCUCGUAGGACCACGUGUCUGUAAGUGAAGAGUAGGUAUCAUUUCAAACAUUUUUAUUUGCCGUAUCCUUUGUAAAUUAGAUAUUGUUCGCCUUUCUAAGGAUUUGCUCGCGUUAGUUUAUUUGCGUCUUUUUUAGACUUUUCUCCCGUGGUUCUACAAUAAGAAAAAGAUCACUUCUACUUAAUGAGGACAAAUUAGGGACUCGUGUCGAUGUGGUAGAAACGUUACACUUUUCUUUUCUUUUUCUCUUUUUGUGUUGACGUGGGGUUAGAGGUCACAAAGUUCAGUUUUAGGCGAAAAGCACUUCUCAACUUUUGCUUUCGCGGGGAGAACUUUUAGCUUUGACUUGAUUUUCUGGAGAAGCCAAGUAGAAGGUAGAUUUUGUUCAAUAGUGGAAUGAAGCGCAACUGUUAUGUAAAUGGGACGAUCUUGCCGCUCAAAUUUAUCGCAUGAACCUCAGAUCCAUAAAUCUAAUAAUGUUCAAAACAUAAAUCUAAGAUCUUAAAAUUUAAAUAACUUUUACAUAUAUUAAAUACAACAAUAAUUUAAAUAUUAAAAUCAUUAUAUUUUUUUUUUACCAUACAAAUAUUUGAAUUACAACUUCCCCAUUCAUCAGUGUUAACAGAGGAGGUGAGCCCAGUGGGGCCCGCGUGCCUAGCUGGAAUUGGACACGCGCCGAGCUAAUAGAGAUGGGCCUUAUUUUGCUCGUCGGUAGAACAGUAUGAUUUAAUAAAUAAAAUUGACCAAAGGAUUAAAUUUAAUGGUGAAAAUUUAAUUACACUAAAUACUUUGUGCUAUUAGAAGUAUUCUAGUCGGACUGUAUAAACAUCAGUACAUUAGAUUCCUCUUUUCUGAAGAGGGGAUGUUACAGAUCAUAACACAUCUUACUAAAAUAGCUUGUUCUUAUGUGAAUAGGAAAAGUUUUCCUUGGAAAUUAAUUAAUUGUAAACAGAAUCAUAAUGCAUCAGUAAUAUGUCAGAAGCAGUGUAAAUUGCUGUUCUGUUUUUGUUAACCCACUGCCACAAAUUUUUUAUAAUUUUGAACAUGAAUAAUAAUAAUAUAUAUUAAAUCUGACUUCCUAUGGCAUAUAACAAGCUAUGAAAAAAACAAAUUAAAAGACUUGAUUUAGCAGUCCUAAUUAACUUUUAUUUCAUAUAUACCAAUGUCGAUCAUAUCUUUCAAUUUUAAGAGAAGUGGUAAUUACAAUUUAGUCAUAUAUCUAGUUUAAUAUGAAUAGAAACUGUAGUUUAUUAUUGAUUAUGACGAUGCGCAAGUCCACUGCUAAGCCGUGAACUUAAAUCCAUUAAAAGAGUUUUCCUUACGAAAAAUCGUAAGUCGUCUUUUGUGAAUUGAUCUAAAAUGCAGCCUGCGAGCACACGACAAGUCUUUUGGAGCUAUUAUUUCCACUUUCACUAGAUUUGGACGUAUCUAUGAAUACAUCCUCUGAACGCCCCUUAAGCUAUAUGGAUAAAUUGUGUGUGCGCGCGCUUGCUUUUGUGUGUGUGUAUAUAUAUAGAGUAAGGCUACUACGCUAUCAAAAGCAAGGAGUCUUUUGUGCUUCCAGCUCGUUUUCGAUGUUGCGACUUUCGAAUCGUGGAUCGGCUCCAUUAAACUUGAUCUAGAGUAUUUGAAGUACCUAGAAAAUAAAUUAUGCAAUUUUUUGAUAUUAUUUGCCUAGUGAACGAAGGGGCUCAAAAUCAACGGCUGAAAAUAAAAAUCUUACAAAACGUGAUAAUAUGACGUUAAAAUUUUAGAUCAAAAAUAUUGAACUUGUUUUAUAUAGCAUAAAGAAUUUUCUAUCAAAGUUUCACGUGAUUUGGAUAUUUCUACACUGUUAAACUUGCAAACGGCUCACUGCGACCAUUAAAAUUAUUAAUUUUGAGCCCCUUCGAUCACUAGGCAAAUGAUAUCAAAAAAUCAUAAAAUUUAUUUUCUAGAUACUUCAAAUACUCUAGAUCAAGUUUAACGGAGCCGAUCGACGAUUCGAAAGUCGCAACAUCGAAAACGAGCUGGAAGCAA